AAAAAGAAAAAAGGUAAAAAAUUAUUGAAAUAUUAACAAACAAAAAUUUUAACCCGUGGCAUAUUUAACAUAACAUUCCACAUCAAACACAUGUUAUCAAAUAACAACAAUAAACAAUUAAAUGGUAUUUUUGCAAUAAUAUGAUAACAUUGUGACAUCCAUGUAAGUUUUUAAACUUAGGUGACAAAUUAAAAAUUAAUAUAUUGAAUAAGUUAAAUUUACUGUAAAUAAAAAUACAAUAUUUAAAAAACUAAUUAAAUAUUAAACGUAUAAAAUAACAAUCAACAAAUUUAAUUGCUUACAACUCAUUUUAUUAUCGUGCCUGUCCAUUUGCAAGAAAAAGAAAAAAUCCAAGAGAAAGAUACGUUAAUUUGUAUUAUAUUAUGAAAUUUAUAGGCCAUAUGGCAGUUCUGAUAAAUUAACACUUGGAGACUAAAGAGAAAAAUGGCAAAAUAAUAAUAUUAAUAAUAAUUAAGACGACAAAAUGGAGGAGGAAAGCCAAAAUUGUAAAUAAAUAACAACAAUUGCAACCUACCAAAACAUUUACUUCUACUUCAACGUAAGCAUGUAGACAAGCAAGGGUAAAAGGAACCCUCGAGUAGUCGAGUCCCACUUCCUUAAUCCUCAUCAUUGAAAGUAGUCUUCUUUCCUGCAUUAAGAUUAUAACACAAAAUAAUAUGAUUAAAGAAAAAAACCAUGAGCAAUCACCCAUUCCUUUUAUCUCCAAUUGAGAUGUUGAAUAAAAUAUCUGUGCCAGCAGCACCAAGAUUUGGCUUAUUAGGUGUUCCCCGUCCUCUACCAUCUCUACCACCACCAAAUUGACCACCCCCACGCCUACCACCACGGCCACCACCACCUCUUCCAUUGUCAGGUCCAUCACGGGAUUCACCUUUCGGUUUUGCCUCAUUCACGGUCAAGGAAAAUUUAUUAAGUUCUGACCCAUCAAGUCCUAGUGUUACGGGCUUAGAGUUUUCCCACGCGAUCCGUGCGGCCUUAGGCAGUUACUUUGCUCAAAAACGCCUAAGUCAGCUUAAUUCACCACAAUUAUGGAUUCAGCAGAAUUUCCUUUAAGGCAACCACGAAGAACAGUAGAAGAACGAAGUAAGAACGAACUUGAAAGAUGAACAAAAGCAACAGAAAAGUAAGAACGCUUGAGAGAAAAGUUUAAGUGAAUACUUUCAAAAUUCUAUUCACAACUGAACAAUUUACAAUGAGCAGAGAGUCCUCUAUUUAUAGCUGAGGCUCUCCAAAAUCAAUGGUCUAAAUCAAAAUACAUCAAUGCACUACACCAAAACAGGCUUUUAGCGGCGCUUUUAGCGGCGUUUGUACAAAAAAUGCCGCUAAAAAUCGAGCAUUAGCGGCGCUUCCCAAAAAACGCCGCUAAAGAUCGAGUAUUAGCGGCGUUUUUCUAAAAAACGCCACAAAAAACCUAAGCCCAACGACGUCGUUUUCAAACCUUGUGGGUCUUUAGCGGCAUUUUUCAAGAAGCGUCGCUAAUGCGUGGACCUUUAGCAGCGUUUUUCAAGAAGCGCCGCUAAUGCGCAGACCUUUAGCGGCGUUUUUUAAGAAGCGCCGCUAAUGCGCAGACCUUUAGCGGCGUUUUUCAGGAAGCGCCGCUAAUGCACUGACCUUUAGCGGCGUUUGUAAGGAAUCGCCGCUAAUGUGCAAACCUUUAGCGCGUUUUUUCAUGAAGCGCCGCUAAUGCGCAGACCUUUAGCGGCGUUUUUUGUAAAGCGCCGCAAAAAAAUAUUAUGUAUUUUUUUACUUUUUAAUUUGUUUGUUUAUAUUAAUUAAAAUUGAAUAUAUUUUUAAUUGAAUAUUUGUUAAAAAUGGAUAAAUUUGAAAUAAUGAGACAUUGAAAUAAUUUGAAUUAAAAAACAUAGCAAAAUAUUUGUUAAAAAUGAAAAAAAAUUAAAAUACUAUUAAUUAAAAAUAUUCUAAAUUUUUUUGGGUACAUGAUUGAUUGCUUUUUAAUUUAUAUAUUAAAUAAUUUCAUAUAUAAUUGUAAAGGAUACAAUAGUAAUAAUUUUAAAAUAUUUAUUUUGUAUAAUUAUCAUUAUAUAUAGUUUAAUAUAUACAUGGUUUAGGGUAUAUGAUUAAUUUAGUAAUUAAGGCCGGUUUAAGAGUCACAAUUUUAAGGUUUAUAGAUUACGGAAUAUUUAGGGAUUAUAUAUGGAUUAGAGAUUCUAGUUUAAGGGUUGUGAUUUAAGGGUAAUAGGGUAUAGGGGUUAUGGGUUAGAGGUUAAGAGUUAGUUAGGGAUUUAAACGGUUUAUGGUUCGGUGUUAGGUUAGGGUUUAGGGUCUAGAUUAAUUAGUGUGUUUUAAUUUAUAUAUUAAAUAAGGUUUAGGGGUUAGGGGUUAGAGGUUAGGGGCUGAGGGUUAUGAGUUUAGGGUUUUAAGGUUUAGGGUUAACAGUUUAGGAUUUAGGGUUUAGGGGUUAAGGGUCGGGUUAGAGUAUGGUAUUUGAUUUAAUUUCUGUUUUUUAAAUUAUAUAUAUUAAAUAAUAAGGAUUAGUAGUUAGUGGUUAGUGGUUAAUUGGGGUAAUUAGGGUUAUGAGUUUAGGAUUAGAGGUUUAGAGUUAGAGAUUUAGGGUUUAGAGAUUUAGGGUCGAGUUAGGGUUUAAGGUUUAGGAUAAUUAGUAUUUUUUAAUUUAUAUAUUAAAUAAGUUUUUAUAUAAGUGUGAAAGAUAUAAAAAAAUUGUAAACAUUAUUAGUUUUUAUAUAAGUUUUUAUGCUAAUUGAAUAUAAAAGAUUGAGAUUUGGCGGCGUUUAUAGCAAAAAACGCCACUAAUAUACAUUCGAAUUUUNNNNNNNNNNNNNNNNNNNNNNNNNNNNNNNNNNNNNNNNNNNNNNNNNNNNNNNNNNNNNNNNNNNNNNNNNNNNNNNNNNNNNNNNNNNNNNNNNNNNNNNNNNNNNNNNNNNNNNNNNNNNNNNNNNNNNNNNNNNNNNNNNNNNNNNNNNNNNNNNNNNNNNNNNNNNNNNNNNNNNNNNNNNNNNNNNNNNNNNNNNNNNNNUGUGGCGUUUUACUGAAAGCGCCUCAAGUAUUUUUGACAUUUUAUCAAUGCGGCGUCGUUUAUGUCCUGGAUUGAAAUAUUUUAGUGGCGUUUUGUAAGAAAACGCCGCAAAUACUUAUUAAAAUUUGCCAAUGCCCAGUUUUAAAUACUUUUCCAACUUCAAGCUCAUUUUAUCCAAAUCACCCAUUUCAUUGUUUAAAAACAAUAAAAAAUAUAAAUCUAAGCCUAACCAUAUUUUGGGCUAGGUGAGUUGUAUGGGUAGUGAACAUUUCUAAUUAUCAUUUAAAGAGUAAAUAACAUAUAUUUUUCUAAAAUUUGAAAGGUUUUAUAUUUUACGUGAUUUAAAAUUUUAAAAUGAAUUUUAAAAGAUUUUAAAAUUUUUUAAAAAAUNNNNNNNNNNNNNNNNNNNNNNNNNNNNNNNNNNNNNNNNNNNNNNNNNNNNNNNNNNNNNNNNNNNNNNNNNNNNNNNNNNNNNNNNNNNNNNNNNNNNUUAUUUUUAUAAUAUUUAUAUACUUUUAAAGAAAAGACCCAACUUUCUCCCUGAAACCCCUAACCUUUAACCCCUAAUUUAAAUCAUAAUGAUAAUUAAUCAAUAUUGAAUUAAUUCAAUAUAAAUCAUAAUAUUAAUUAUAUAAAGCUUUUAAAAUUUAUAAAGAUAUUGAUAUGGAUAGUUUUUUAAAGCUUUUUUUUCCUUCAUAUUUUAAAUUUUUUUAUUUUCUUACCUCAAAAAUUAUAUAAAAAUUUUAAAAAUUAUCUAAUUCUUUAAAAUAUUACUUAAUUUUUCAAAAAUUAUUUAUUUAAAAUUAAUAUGAAUUAUACAAUAAUUAAAUAUAAAAUUACAAAAAAAUUCAAUCAUUAGCGGCGUUUAUGAGAAAAACGCCGCUAAAGGUAAGCAAUAGCGGCGUUUGAACCAAAAAUGCCGCAAUUAUGAGAAUUUUUAUUUUCAAAACGACGUCGUUUGAUACAGGAAUUUAAUUUUUAGUGGCGUUUUUAAUAAAAAUGCCGCAAAAGUUAUAUAAUUAGUGGCGUUUUUUUGUAAGCGCCGCAAAUUUUACAAUACCAAAACGAGGUCAUUUUCUUCCCCAAAUCAGAUUUGACUUAAAAAAACUUAAAAUUGAGCGGUGGGUUUUAUUACCAAAUGCCGCCAACCCCCCCCAAGUUCUGAAAUCAAAUCCUUCACUUCAAAAUUUCGCUUUCCCUCACUUCAAAUGCCGUCGGCGAUGCCUCUCCUCAAGCUCCCUUGCCUAUGCUCAAGUCCACCAUCACUGGCGCCGCUUCCACCUCUCUUUCUGCUCAUAAGAAGACCAAGGGUCAUGGCUUCCGUGAGGGCGAUGCUGACCGCCACUCCCGUCUCGCCUCCCGCGACUUCGAGUUCUUCGGCACUGACGGCGGCCCUGGUCCCCAGAGAUGUUAGUCCCUUCACUAAACCCUAAUUUUUUCUCUCCCUGUUCACUUAUAUUGUUUCAUUUUGUUUGAUUUUCUAGGGUUUUAUUCUUAUUUUUUUCCCUACAAAACAAGAUGAUUACGAAAUUGCUUUCAUUUUUGCUGUAUGGAAGUUGAUCUUAAUUUCAUAACAAAAUUGGGUUUGAAAUAAGUUGGGAAUUUGAUAGUUUUCGCUUAAUGCUGAACCUUGAGCGGGUUUCUAUUUUUUUGGGGGGGUUAUAUGAAUUAUCUUCACUGUGUUUUUUUCCCCUUAUUUAUAGUCUAUGAAAUUUAAUUGAAUUUAAUUGUUAUUUCUUUGUUGCUUUUAAUACCCUUUCACUGUUCUUCGAUCUUUCUUUCAUUAUUUAUUUUUUGGAAUCGAUUGUGCGUUUUGUGAUAAAACAUAGAACUCGGCACAUGAUUCCAAAUGCAGUUUUGUCAGUACCAGAUAAAAAUGUUACAAUUGCUAAGAAAUGUUCUGUCUUUCCUGUUGAAUUUGUUGGUGAGUAUCUUUGAUAUUCUUAUCAUUCAUUUUUGUCACAUAAAGGGCGGACUCGGCACAUGAUUCCAAAUGCAGUUUUGUCAGUACCAGAUAAAAAUGUUACAAUUGCUAAGAAAUGUUCUGUCUUUCCUGUUGAAUUUGUUGGUGAGUAUCUUUGAUAUUCUUAUCAUUCAUUUUUGUCACAUAAAGGGCGGUUGAUAUUCUUAUCUUAUCUUUGAUAUUUUUAUCUUCAUGCAAUGGAUGAUUUCUUUUUGAAUGUCUCAUAGCUUUUUCUCCUCAUUAGUUCUGUUUUUUUUAUAUAACUUCUAUAAUUGGCACUUUUUAGAUUACUGAAGAGUAAGGAUUUUUCUACCUUAAAGGCCUUUUACUUUAUGCUGUGCAGGUUCAAGUGGAUUUUGAUGAUUAAACUAGAUGGGAGUAUCUGUUUAAGGUGUACUGGGUUCUUUUAAAAGAGAAGCUAGCUUUAACUUUAGAUGAGCUUACUAAUGCUACAAAUCCAUGGAAGGAACUUAGAGAAGCUUCAGCUAAUAUUGAACCAAAGCAUCAAAACAACGUUGCAGAUUUAAUAAAUAGUUACAAAAGUUUAUACCAAAAAUGGGUUUUUGAUCUCAGGUAAUUUAAUACUCUUAUUUACUUAAUGGUGUAAUUUUGAAUUUCAUUGGAAACUUUAAUUUGUUAGAAUUUGAUCCUCUUAAUUUGCAAAAAUUGGAAAUUUGAUCUGUUUUUGGUGUAUACAUGCUCUUGAACAGUUGGUUUUUGCUAAUUUGUUUUGAUCUCCGAUAGUUUAAAACUCUUAUUUACUUAAUGGUGUAAGUCUGAAUUUCAUUGGAAACUUUAAUUUGUUAGACUUCCAUCCUCUUAUUUUAUAAAAAUUGAAAAUUUAGUCUGGUUUUUGGUGAAUAUAUGAACUUGUAUUGUUAAUUUGUGUUAAUUUGUUGCAUUUAAAAUGUUAUAAAAAUUGACAAGUUGGUCCGGUUUUUGGUAGAUACAUUAUACAUGAACUGUUAAUUUUUGCUAAUUUUUUGCAUGUAAAUUAGUUGAAAUGAUNNNNNNNNNNNNNNNNNNNNNNNNNNNNNNNNNNNNNNNNNNNNNNNNNNNNNNNNNNNNNNNNNNNNNNNNNNNNNNNNNNNNNNNNNNNNNNNNNNNNUUUUUUAUAUCUCCUUACAUAUUAAAUAUUGAAAUGUUCUACUAAUGUUACCCAAAAUGGGUUUAGGGUUUUAAAAAUUGAAAAUUGAAAAUUUAGUCUGCUUGUUGGUAAAUGCAUGAACUUGAUCCAUUUAUUUUUGCUAAUUUGUUGCAUGUAAGUUUUUAUAAAUAUUGACAAAUUAGUCUGAUUUUUGGUAAAUACAUGAACUUGAACCAUUGAUUUUUGUUAAUUUGUUGCAUAUAAAUCAUUAUAGAAAUUGAAGAUUUAGCCCUAAUGCCGGUAAAUAUAUGAACUAUGAAUAAUUGAUUUUUUGCUAAUUUGUUUCACAUAAACUGUUGUNNNNNNNNNNNNNNNNNNNNNNNNNNNNNNNNNNNNNNNNNNNNNNNNNNNNNNNNNNNNNNNNNNNNNNNNNNNNNNNNNNNNNNNNNNNNNNNNNNNNGUUAAUUUCUUGCAUAUAAAUUAUUGAAAUGUUGAUUUUUGAUAAUUCCUUACAUAUUAAAUAUUGAAGUGUUGAUGUUCAAGCUAGUAAUUUAACAGUGAGGUUUACUAAUGUUAUCCAAUUGGACUAACUUAUCAGGUUUUAUAAAUUAAGGGGAUAAAAUUCAUAAUUAGACCUUUACUUAUAUAGUUUUAUUCCAAAGUGUUACCUUGAAAGUUAGUAUUGGCUUAAUUUUCCAGUACUUAUUAUGUGUAUGUCUUGCUUGAAGGCCUCUCCUUUAGGCAUGUGAUAAAAGGCUAGCACUUUUUGGUAGCAAGGAUGAAAAGUGGAAAGACAAAAAAAGUAUUAAUUUAAUGAUUACAAAUAUCUUUGUUAUAAAUUUCUACCAUUAGAUUAAAUAGUUUGCCAUCCUUACUGCACAGAACCGAAAGGAUUUUAAAGUGUUGAUUUAACUCUCUCUCUCUCUCUUAUAUGUAUUUGGUUUUGAUCUUGUUAAUUUGCUUGUUUAGACCAUAUGACUAGCAUUUGGAUUAUCUUCCAUUGAAUGUUUUUUUUUUUGUAUAAAGUUAUUUAUGCUGGCAUCUGCCUUUUUCUUUUUAGGCACUUAGAUUAAGAUCGAAUGAGCUAAAAUUGGAGAGGCAAUUGGAGAACACAGAGGCUGAAAUUUCUUCUUUCAAGUAUGCUGUAAAUUUUCUUUACCAAAGGGCUUGUGAUCUACAUUUUCAGGAUGAGUUGAUUACUUGUUUCUUCAAUUAUAUAUGCCUUUUGCCAUAUGUGUUCAAAAGUAACUGCCUGGAUUAUAAUGCUCAUACAUAACUCCUUGGUGCAGAAUUGAAGGUUACUUUUGUUGAUAUUAGUAGAGAAACAUUUAUUAUUGUUACAUAUUACAACUAAAGAACCAUAAAGGAAGCAAAAGAAUAUGUGUGCGUGUGGGGUGGGAGAUAUUUAAUUGUUAGUUAUUUGCUUAUUAAGUAGGUUUCCUGUGUGAAAUGUUUAAUGUUGUUUCCUUCCGUUUGCUAUAUAUUAUCAUGUUUAGACUUUCAUUUGGAUAUAGUUUCAUGUUGAUUCUUCUAAUAGUUAUAGGACAUCUUAUUCAUUCUGAAUUUUGCAGAAAGAAAAUGUCUAGCCUAGAGAAAGAGCGUCAGGAUUUUCUAUCAACCAUUGAAGCACUUAAAGAAGGUAAGUACGCUAAUAGCUAGGCGUUUUAAUGAUAAUAAUAUGUUUGUUGUAUAAGAUCUUGAAAAGAAUAGAAUUUAACAUAUGUUUUUUGGAAUUCAAAAUUUUAAAAGUAGUUAAAUUAAAUUUGCAAUUUAUGCAUAGUACAGGGAUUAAUGACAUAAAUUGAGUUUAUUUUUAACAUUGAAUGAUUUCUUUUGUGAAUUUGGUUUGAAAAAGAAAAGAAAAGAGAGAAAAAUAUUCUGGUAAAAGUGGCAGUUUAGCCUUUAACUUUUAAAAAGGUUGAAUCUAUUCAAUGCUAGCGCUUUUCUCUUCUCCUGCCCUUGACAGCACAUUCAUUUGACAGGAUAAUUUGGAAACCCUGUUGCAAGAGAAGGACAUUUAGGCUGAUCUAAUCUGUUGCUUGCAGCAUUUGCAGGUAUUUUGUGUAGUUUAAGUUGUGAACAUUGGGUUUUGAUUUGUCAUGUGAACAAAUAUGAUGAAUCUAAAGUGCAUUUUUAUUCUUCAAUUUGCAGUUAAGAUUUGAAACUGAAGACAAAGCAUGGAGACUUCUAAGUAAUGUGUCAUUUUUGUUGAAACCAAGGGAUUAUUUUUUCGGUAUUACUCCUGAAAAAGUGAUUGCCAAAAACUGCUGUUUCUGAUUUGUGUAUUUUCCUUUUCUUUUUUUUGUUCUUGUGGUUAUUGCUGCCCCUGUUUUUGGGAGGUGAUUGUGUAAACAUUUUAGUGUACUUUAGUUAUUGUAAGAAUAUUUUUAACAUUGUUAAUUUUAAUAUUAUUGUAAGAAUAUUUUGAAUUAUAAUUCAGUUAUCAAUUUAUAUAAUAUAUCUUUCAUUGAAUUUGAAGUAUCAUUUAAAUUUGUUGUUUUUGGUUGGAUUUUAUGUAUAUGGAUGAAAAUCGGAUGUUACAAAUUUGUUAAAAUUAGUGGCGUUUUUAUAUAAACGCCGCUAAAAAAUUGUACUUUUAGCGGCGUUUGUGAUAAAGCGUCGCUAAAGAUCAUGUUCUUUAGCGGCGUGGGAAAAAGCGCUGCUAAAGGUCUUGGUCUUUAACGGCGUUUUUAGGAAAAGCGCCACUAAAGCUCAUGUUCUAUAGCAGCGUUUGUGGUUAAAGCGCCGCUAAAGGUCUUGGUCUUUAGCUGCGUUUUUAGAAAUAAACGCCGCUAAAGUUAGCGACGCUGUCAUUAGCGGCGCUUCCGAAAGCGCCGCUAAAAGUAUUUGGGCGUUAAAAAGCGCCGCUAAAAGCCUGUUUUGGUAUAGUGAUGGCUACAAUUAAAAGCUAUCAAAAUAUCAAAUCUCUAAAAUUACAUAAUCGUAUAUUCUAAAGAUUACAUUUAAUAUCUAGGAUCACAUAUCUCCAAAGAUCACCUUCCAUAUUUGCCAAGCAUAUCUUUAGAAAAUCACUUUCCUUAUUUGCCAAGCUCCGGAGAUGGGCUUUUAAUUUCUCCAGGCAAUAGACCAGUCCAAUUGGGCCAAAUGACCUCCCUCGAAUGUGAUGGAUCGCACGAGUUCGUCAUGAUUGCGAGAUCCCAUGCGCAACCCAUGGCACUAGAGCUUUGUUGAAACUAUCUCCGUCGUUGAAAUCCAAAUAAGCAUAACUGCAAUUGAUUGUACACUGUAAGAAUAAGGCAUACACCCAAAAAUAAUAAAAAUUACACUAUUAAAAAAGACAUUCCAAUAUUCAAGACUUCAACCAAGGUUAAACUGUAGAUACCAAGCAGCAAUCAACUAAGUUCUACUUAGCCCUUAAAAUAAUAUGUCUAAGCUUAUCCACAAUCUUAGGGAGGCUUCAUCUUCAAACAAGUCAAUCAGUUAAGAAGAGGCUAAAAAAGGGAACAACAAAAAUCACUGCAACAGGAGAUCAUACCCUUUCACACCACCAGUUUCCCAAUCUACUGGUAUUGCAACCCUAGAAAUCUCUCCGCAAGGACCAAAGUGCUCUUUCAACGAAUUCUUAAUCUGUGAAUGUUUUCAACAGAGCAGAUAAUAUAAAUUCCAAACACAGUGGAGAAGAGGAGAGAUCAACAAAUGCAAAAUUUCAAAUAAACAACUCACCUCAUCCUGACCAAGAGACUGAUCAAAUCCUCUGACAUAUAUUGUUCGAACGUUACCUCUUCCACCUUUUUGGAACGAAUUGUUCCCAUUGCUGCAAAAAAUCAUUCAGGAAAUUAAGUUCAAUAAAAUAGUCCAAUAAACAGGCAACAUCUAGAUCGAAGGCUCAAAAGUUAAAUAUCCAUUCAUACAUUGACAUAGUGAAGGGAAAAAAGGACCUGCUAUGUGGUGUAUAUGCACCCCUUUCACGCGCCAGAUCAAGUCUAACAGCACGGUUCAUCAAAUAUUCACCAUUCAAUUCUAAGGCCUGUAGUAAAGUAAUACGUUAGCUGAUAACUUUCUAACUUCUUGACCUAAGAACAAAGAAGUGUGAAGCAAACACAUGUGCAGUUCACUUGAAGGCUGUUUAAUAAUGUGUUAAAAUGAAGAUACUUGAUUACAAAUUUUACAGAAAUGUUCAUAGAAUAUUUUAAUAUUAAUCAACAUUUACUAGAGAUACAAUUUGGGUAAGUCACACAUACCACUUCUAUGAAAAUCCAAAUCAAAACCUAUUCUGUAUUUAAUUUUCAUCAGCAAAAAUCAGUUCACAGUAGGAAAACAGAGUUUACAGAUUCAAUUCGAUAUUUCAGCACUUCAUUUCUCAUAAUUGAAGUUAUUAUUUCAUUAACCAAAAAAUUAGAAAAAUAAAGAUUGAUACGUUGCCUACAGUUAUUCUGUCUCAUACUAACAAGCAAACAAUAGUCAUAUGCUUGCCAAAUCUAUUAUCACAUAAAUAGUCAACAAAAAGAUAUUAUUUGAUUACUUGCAGAAAGAAAAGAAAACUAAAUUAUUUUAUACAUCAAAUGUCCAAUCCAAAAUAGUAAGAUGAAGAAUUUACCUUCUGUGCAGCCUCUGCAGUAGCAAAUUCAACAUGUCCAUACCCCUUAAAGUUCCCUUCAGCAUCAGUGGCAAGACGUAUAUCCACAAGCUCACCAGCAUCCUUAAAGAAAUUCUUUCUGCAGAACACAUUGAUCAGAAGAUAUUUAAAAAAAAAAUCAAUUUCAGAGGGAAUUAAAGAACCUAAACGUACAUUUCAUCUUGUUCAAUUUGGAAAGAUAAGUUUCCAACAAAUGAAGUCUUUGAUCCAGUAGAUUGAACUUGAGGAGUUGCAGGAGUUUGGGGCUGCAGAAAAACCUCUAAUCAGAUUCAAACCUGUUUGACUAAUGAACCAAAAAAAGCAGUAGUUAUCCAAUUUAAAAGAAACUGAAAGGAAAGUUGGCACUUACAGCUUUCUUCCCAGAUCUUACUUCCUGCUGCUUGGCAUUUUUCUGUGGGGUCGUAGCAUCCAACAUUUCUACAUCUGUGUCCUAUCCAAAUAUAUCGUACACCACUACAUUAGGCAAUCGUCAUAAUAACCUGGAAAAAGUGAAAAGAAGAGGGAAAUACAUGUACUUUUUUCUUUGGAGUUUUUUCAUCAUCACUUUCCUCAUCAUCAUCGGAUGAUUCUUCAGAUUCCUCCUCUUCACUACUGCUUACCUUUUUAACUUUAGCAGCUUUACCACUAUCCGGAGCAACCUUGGACUGCAGCUUAUAGAAUUGGACAACUUAGUGAAUUGAUGCUAGAACAACAAUAAAAAAGAUCUAGAAAAAUGUGGGUGAUCAAGAAAAUUUGACCUUUUUAGCAGCUGGUUGUUCAUCCUCACUUUCAUCAGAGCUAUCAUCCUCACUAUCAUCGCUUUCCUGCAAUGUGAAAGGGAAGUUAGCAAGAAAAAGAGUCAUGCUUUGUUCACAGAACAUAGACAAUGUUAAAGAUUUAAAGAACUGAAGCAAUUAAACCCUAAGACAAGUUACAGUUGGCAAGCAAUCUCAGAAAAUCGUCGCAGGUAAGAAAAAAUAUGCCAAAAUAAAUUGGAUCAAUCCAAAAAAUUCAAUGAAUGCAGAAGUGCAUUUUCCUCCCCACAUCAAUAAUUAGCAAAAUGCAAAGGUAGACUGUCAGAGGGUCACACAAAAGAACACAAACCCAUCAAACUACUUUUUUUUUGAUAACCAUUCAUUAGAAGAAGGUUUUUGAAAAAAAAUCAUGAGCAGCAACAAAUAAUAUCACAAGUUGUCGUACUCCUAGAAAAUAAUGCCAAUGACCAGGAAUGCAAUUAUAAGAGUAAAAAGUAAGGAGGAGAAACCUCUUUUGGUUGUUUUGACCCAGCAGUGGGGAAUGGCUUUUUUGAAGCAACAAGAACUUUGUUUGAAGGAGCCUGCAGUGUGAUAUUAAUGCAGUGCCAAAUUACUACAAGUUCAAUGAGAAAAAAGAAGUAACAGAAAAUGUCCCAUAUCUAGAAGAAUUGUUCAUUCCUCGUUCUAAGGAUCUUGGUAACAGAAUUUUUCACCAGACUUAAAACUAUAGGAUUACCUCAUCCUCAGAGGAAUCAGUUUCUGAGGAACUUCCAGAUGAAUAUUCUUUCUUUGAUGUUUUCCCAUUACAGGUUUCUUUGCUUCAACUUUCUGAUAAAAUUUAAUCAUCGGCAUUACAUGAAUAACAAAACUUUCAUAACCAAAAUGAAACUGAUAUUAAUAAAACUAAAAUGCUAAAGCAGACCAUUUCUUCCUCAGAAUCACUAUCAUCAGAGGAGCUACUACUGGAAUCCUCAUUUUUCUUGGGGGUAGGAGCAGAAGCCUUGUUCACAGUGAUUGCUUUCUUCACAUCCUAGAGCAGUGUAACAUAAUCAAUAAAAUAUGUACAUAAAUGAAAUAAAAGAAGAAAAGAGAACUUCAUGAAUGAGACACCAGACCUCUUCAUCAGAAUCCUCCUCAGAGCUGCUAUCACUAGAAGCAGUAACAGAUGGUACACUUUUCGCAGCAGAAUUGGGCAAAGCAGCCUUUUGAGGUUCCUAUACAAGAAUAUAUUAAAUUACUGGAAUUAUCAAACAUAAUAAUAUUCUGUAACACCCCCUAACCCCAAACCAUCGCCGGAAUAGGGUUACGAGGUAUUACCGGAUCUAUCAGACAACUUAUGAAUAAUUCAUUUAAGUCGAAACCGAGUUUAGAAGUACAUGCCACAUUUAAGUCGAAACUAAGUCAGGUUUUUGGAUGCUAAUAUAUUUAUUUGAUUUUGUUUUAUAGAUAAAAUGUCAGAUGAAAGAAUGUAUGAAGUUGAACAGGAAAUGCAUACUGGAAGUCGAGAACUUGAAGAAACUGAAUCUGCUACACCUAGUGUGAAUCCAUUAGAUAAUCAACCUCCUAAUGUAGGAUGAGAAAGAGAUGACUCACAACUGUUAAGAACUAUAGCCGAUGCAUUACAGCGUGUAGCAGGAACUAUACCUGCUACUACACCAGUACCAACUGUCAGACGGGCCCCGAUUAAAGAGCUACAUUUCAGAAGAAGUAUAUUGGGAAAUGUACAUUGAAGAGAAAAAACAAGAGUUUUUAGUGUUGAAAUAGGGUAAUAUGUCACUACUGGAUUAUGAGCGAGAGUUUUCUAGACUGAACAGGUAUGCUUCAGAAUAUAUUCCAACCAAGGCUGAUAGUUGUAAACGAUUUCUACGAGGACUGCGAGAUGAAUUCAAGAUUCAAUUGGUAAGUCUCAGAAUUACUGAACUUGUCGAUCUGGUUGAGCGAGCAAAAAUGAUAGAACAAGUAUUGGGCCCGGAUAAAAAGUCAGAAAUGGGUAAAUCAGCUGGGAAACGUAUGGGAAUUACCAGUUCUAAUCCAUUACCGAAGAGAUCCAGAGAAUCAAGAAGUGGUUGGAGAUCAAACUUUCGGUCUGAUAGAGGUGACAGAAGUAGAGAAAAACAGAUUACUGUUUCCACCGGUAGUGUAAAAGCUCCGCCCCAAAAAAGUGAAAAUCAUGAUUGUAAUUAUUGUGGGAAAAGACAUUUUGGUGAAUGCUGAAAGAAAAUUGGAGGAUGUUCUGCUGUGGCUCUACUGAACACUUUGUUAAAGAUUGUUCGAAAACUCAGAGUAGUACACCUGCCACAUCUCAGAGAUCGGUAUCGACUGCCAGAGGUAGAAGAAUGUCCAGAGGAGGUUCUGUUUUGAGGAGAGGAGGAGCUGGUAGAGGCAGUGAUAUAGCUACACAGCAAUCUGAAGCCAAAGCUCCAGUUAGAGCUUAUGUAGUCAGAACCCGAGAAGAACUUAAUGCUCACGAUUUGGUGACAGGUAUAUUUUUACUGUAUUCUGAGCCUGUUUAUACUUUGAUUGAUUCUGGAUCUUCACACUCAUAUAUUAAUUCAAAAUUAGUAGAGUCGGGGAAAUUAAAAAUAGAAAUGUCUAAAGUCUCAAUAUAAGUAUCAAGUCCAUUGGGGCAAACAAUAUUAGUUAAUCAGGUGUGCCCGAAAUGCCCGCUAAUAAUUUAUAAUAAAAAUUUUCCGGUGGAUUUAUUAAUAAUGCCUUUUGAAAAUUUUGAUGUUAUAUUGGGUAUGGACUGGUUAGUUGAACAUGGGGUAAUUUUCGACUGUUAUAAAAAGAAAUUCAGUGUUCAGACUGAAGAUGGUGAUUGUGUUGAAGUAAAUGGAAUUCGUACUAGUAGGUUAGCUCAAAUCAUAUCAGCAAUUAAAGUUAAUAAGUUGCUUCAUCAGGGUUGUACAGCAUAUCUGGCAUAUGUUAUUAAUUCUGAUUCAGUCAGAAGUCAGUGUAGUCAGAUUAGGACUGUAUGUGAAUUUCCAGAUGUAUUCCCUGAAGAACUGUCGGGCUUACCACCUAACAGAGAGGUUGAAUUUGCUAUAGAAGUGUAUCCGGGUACAGCACCAAUCUCUAUACCUCUGUAUCGAAUGUCGCCCACUAAAUUGAAAGAGUUGAAGGUGCAGUUACAGGAUUUACUAGAUCGUGGGUUUAUUAGACCGAGUAUUUCACCUUGGGAAGCUCCGGUAUUAUUUGUUAAGAAGAAAGACGGUUCAAUGCGGCUAUAUAUUGAUUAUCGACAGUUGAACAAGGUAACAAUCAAGAAUAAAUAUCCAUUACCUCGGAUUGACGAUUUAUUUGACCAACUGAAAAGAGCUUCAGUAUUUUCGAAGAUUGAUUUAAGGUUCGGGUACUAUCAGUUGAAAGUAAAGGAAAGUGAUAUACCGAAGACAGCUUUGCAAGGUAUGGUCGUUAUGAAUUCUUGGUAAUGUCAUUUGGAUUAACUAAUGCUUCAGCUGCUUUCAUGGAUCUUAUGAAUCGUAUCUUCCAACCGUAUUUAGAUCAGUUCGUGGUAGUCUUCAUGAUAUACUGGUCUAUUCAAAGACAGAGGCAGAACAUGAACAAUAUCUUAAAAUAGUGCUACAGAUAUUACGGGAGAAACAGUUGUAGGGAAAGCUCAGCAAAUGCGAGUUCUGGUUAUCAAAAAUUAUAUUUUUGGGACAUAUGGUAUCGACAGAUGGAAUCAGAGUUGAUCCGAAGAAGAUUGAAGCAAUUAUUCAGUGGAAAGCACCGAAAAUGUAUUUGAAGUACGCAGUUUUCUUGGUCUGACUAGAUAUUAUAGAAGAUUUGUAAAUAGAUUUUCGAAAAUAGCUUUGUCGAUGACUAAGUUACUACAAAAGAAUAUUCCUUUUGUCUGGGAUGAGCAGUGCCAAAGGAGUUUUGAGACAUUGAAACAAAUGUUGACAAGGAAACCAGUUCUAACUUUACCAGAAUCGAGGAAAGAUUUCAUAUUGUACAGUGAUGCUUCUCUGAAUGGUUUGAGCUGUGUAUUAAUGCAAGACGAAAAAGUAAUAGCUUAUGCAUCUCAACAGUUGAAGCCACAUGAACGCAACUACCCGACACACGAUUUGGAGUUAGCUGCUGUAAUAUUUGCAUUAAAGAUUAAAAGACAUUACAUGUAUGUUGAGAAAUGUUAUAUUUACAGUGAUCAUAAAAGUCUUAAAUAUUUUCUGUCACAAAAGGAGUUGAAUCUGAGACAGAGACGAUAGAUAGAACUUCUGAAAGAUUAUGAUUAUAUUAUAGAUUAUCAUCCAGAAAAGGCAAAUGUGGCAGUAGAUGCAUUGAGCAAAAAGACAGCGAUUGAAUUACGGGCAAUGUUUGCUCGGCUUAGUAUCAAUGAUGAUGGAAGUUUGUUAGUUGAAUUAAAAGUUAAGCCAAUGAUGUUUAUUCAAAUUAGAGCAGCUAAGAUGGGAGAUGAGAAGAUAAUGAAGAAAAGAGAAAUGGUACAGCAUGGUACAGUGGAAAAUUUUGGUAUUGACGAGCAUGAUUAUUUAAGGUUUCGGAAUUGGAUUUGUAUCCCAGCUACUUCUGAGAUUAAAGAGUUGAUUCUCCGAUAAGCACAUGAUAGUACUUUUGCUUUGCACCUUGGUGGAACGAAUAUGUAUCAUGAUCUACGAGAACUGUAUUGGUGGCCAGGAAUGAAGAAAGAUAUAGUCAAAUAUGUUGGUAAAUGCUUGACAUGUCAGCGAGUAAAAGCAGAGCAUCAGGUACCGACAAGUCUACUUCAGCCUAUUAGUAUUCCUGAGUGGAAAUAAGAUUGUGUCACUAUGGAUUUCGUUACAGGACAACCGUUAUCAACAAGCAAAAAGAAUGUUAUUUGGGUAAUUGUUGAUCGGCUUACAAAGUCAGCUCAUUUCAUAGCAGUCAAAACUGAUUGGUCAUUACAGAAGCUUGCCAAGGUUUAUAUCCGGGAAGUUGUAAGAUUGCAUGACAUUCCUACAUCGAUAAUCUCAGAUCGGGAUUCGCGGUUUAUUUUGAGAUUUUGGAGGCAACUACAUAAUCUUUUGAGAACUCGGCUCAAUUUUAGUACGACUUUUCAUCCACAAACGGAUGGACAAUCAGAGCAGGUAAUUCAAAUUCUGGAAGAUAUGCUUCGGGCUUGUAUUAUCGAUUUUGAAUCAGGUUGGGAACGAUAUUUGCCACUAGCAGAAUUUGUUUAUAACAAUAGUUUCCAAUCUAGUAUUCAGAUGGCUCCGUAUGAAGCAUUAUAUGGUCGAAGGUGUCGAUCACCAGUAUGUUGGAUAGAAUUGAAUGAAAGAAAAGUGAUUCGGCCAGAACUGAUUCAAGAAACAGAAAAAAACAAUUAAGAAGAUUAAAGACAGAUUGAAAGCAGCCUUUGAUAGGCAGAAAUCAUAUGUAGACUUGAAACAGCGAGACAUUAAAUAUUCUGUUGGUGAUAAAAUAUUCCUUAAAGUAUCGCCUUUGAAGAAAGUUUUAAGAUUUGACCGAAAGGGUAAAUUAAGUCUACAUUUUGUUAGGCCGUAUGAAAUUGUGGAGAGAGUUGGACCAGUUGCUUACCGAUUGAAUUUACCUCCGAAAUUAUAGAAAAUUUAUGAUUUUUUUCAUGUUUCUAUGUUACAAAAGUAUUGAUCGGAUCCAUAUCAUAUUAAUUCUACUGAAAAUAUUAAGAUUAAACCGGAUUUGUCAUAUGAAGAAGAACCAGUUCAAAUACUAGCUCGAGAAGUGAAAGAAUUAAUAAACAAACGGGUUCCUCUAGUAAAAGUAUUGUGGAGAAGCCAUAGUGUGGAAGAAGCAACAUGGGAACCGGAGGAAACUAUGAGAUCACAGUAUCCUCACUUAUUUUCAGGUAAAACUUUGAGAACGAAAUUUUUUAAGGGGGAAGAAAUGUAACGACCCAAAAUCCUUGGCCACCAAAAAAGUGUGUUAUCGAGCCUCCGUCUUAGUAAACCGAGUUAGUAAAUAAGUAUUAGGAGUACUUAAAAUUAUUAGUCUGAUAAUGUGUUUAAUUAGAUUUUUUUAUUUAGUGAAUUUAGUUUAACUAAAAGUAAUUAGGAAAAAUGAUCAAAUUGAAUAAAGAGUGAAAGUCUAAUUAUAGAUUAAAAGAAAGUAAAAAGGGCUAAAAUGACAAUUAAGUCAUUUAGCAUAGUUGAUGCGGCAUAAAGGGAAUAAAAUCUAAGAUUUUAUUUGUUUUAAUUAUAUAAUUAUUUAUUGAUUCUCUAGAUCUAUUUGGUAAUGGAUUAGAACUGGUAAUUUCCAUAGGUUUCCCAGCUGAUUUACCCAUUUCUGACUUUUUAUCCAGGCCCAAUACUUGUUCUAUCAUUUUUGCUCGCUCAACCAGAUCGACAAGUUCAGUAAUUCUUAGACCUACCAAUUGAAUCUUGAAUUCAUCUCGCAGUCCCCGUAGAAAUCGUUUACAACUAUCAACCUCGGUUGGAAUAUAUUCUGAAGCAUACCUGCUCAGUCUAGAGAACUCUCGCUCAUAAUCCAAUACUGACAUAUUACCCUGUUUCAGCACUAAAAACUCUUGCUUUUUCUCUUCAAUGUACAUUUCCCCAAUAUACUUCUUCUGAAAUUCUUUUUGAAAUAAGUCCCAAGUUACCUGAUCUUCCGGCAAAUGUCUAAUCACAAAUUCCCACCAGAGAUACACUUCUCCUUGUAACAAUGAUACAACACAUAUCAGAUUCUCUCGAGGAGUGCAAUCUAAUUGUUGCAAAACUCUUUUUGUUGAUUGCAUCCAAUUUUCAGUAGCGGACGGAUCAAUUCCUCUUAAUCCCAAAAACUCCGUGUCACCAUAUUUUCAUAGCUCUUUAAUCGGGGCCCGUCUAACAGUUGGUACUGGUGUAGUAGCAGGUACAGUUCCCGCUACACGCUUAAAUGCAUCGGCUAUAGUUCUUAACAGUUGUGAGUCACCUCUUUCUCUUUCUACGUUAGGAGGUUGAUUAUCUAACGGAUUCACACUAGGUGUAGCAAAUUCAGUUUCUUCAAGUUCUCGACUUCCAAUAUGCAUUUCCUGUUCAACUUCAUACAUUCUUUCAUCUGACAUUUUAUCUAUAAAACAAAAAUAAAUAAAUAUAUUAGCAUCCAAAAACCCGACUCAAUUUCAACUUAAAUGUGGCAUGUACUUCUAAACUCAUUUACGAGCUUGAUUUAGUCCGAGAAUCGACUAAACCUUAGCUCUGAUACCAAUAAUUAUAAUACCCCCUAACCCCAAACCGUCGCCAGAACAGAGUUACGAGGCAUUACCGGACCUAUCAGACAACUUACGAAUAAUUCAUAAUUAAAAUAACAUUCAUAGUAUAAUUUAAUAAUUAAAUUCCUAUAUGUAUUAAAACCUGUUUAGUACUUGACUUCUACAACCUGCGCACGAAAACAACCGUACGCUGAGUUUGCAUAUACUCAGUGGUAUCACUAUAAUUCAAUUUAUAUUUAAAUACAUUAAAUCACAUACACAUACUUUUACAUUACAAUUAUCAUUACUUAAUGAACAAUUCAAUCUUUUAUAUUAUCAUUUGAUUAUAUAUAUCAUUCUUAUUUCUUUAUUUCAAUUCUCACCUUUAACAUAUGUCAUAUCAUUCAAAUUUAAUUUUAUCAGUAAAUUUAUUUAAUUUGCCCCUAUUAACUUGACUCGAACUCGGCGGAUACACGAAUUCCAACCAACACACCAAUACUACACAUUGUACCUUAAUGAUACACAGCACCUAAACAUUAAUUAGUAACGGUAACAGUAACAAUACUCAACUCACAAAGUGUCGAAUUAGUAACAGUAACAGUAGUCGACAUAUAAAUGCCUGAUCAGUAAACCGACAAAAACCCAUACUCUUCUAUAUCCUAUGGCAUGCCAACUAUAUCCGACUAGUUAAUAGGAUAUUUAAUUCACUUUUCAGUACAAUUUCCAUCUUAGUUCAGUAUCAAUUAUAAUUCCUUAAUUAAAUCAGUUUCACAGUAUUGCUGUAAUUCAUUACUUCAGUAAUUUCACAGUUCAAUGCAGUACAUAUAACAAUAUUCAGUAACUUCAUAAUUCAGUUCAGUAUCAGUUUUAAUACCCAAACAUAAAUUUUCAUUUUACUAAACACUUACCUUAAAAUACUCGCCAUACAUAAUUAGUAAAUUAAAAACAUAAUAAUGAUAAAGUUUGAAUUGUAGUGAUACAAACCAGAAUUCUCUUCGGAUUUAAUCUUUAACAAUCUUUUCUUUCCUUUUUUGGGUCGAUACUUCAGGCUCGAUAUUAGCUACGAAAAAUUAAAAUAAUUUCACAAUCAUUAGCACAACACAAUUUAAUUGUUGAAAUUUUUAUCUAACUUUUACUUUAAUUUCAAUUUGAAUCCUAACUAAACCUAUAUAUUUUUCUUUCUCAAUUCAUACCCUUUUGCUACUCAAUUUCUUGCCAAACUCACAUUUAACUAUCUAAUUUUUAUCAUAUUUUCAUAAUUUCGAAUUUAUUUCAAUUUAAUCCCUAAAACUCAAAACUUAUAGCUUAGUUUAUAAUUCAAUCAUUUAUUCAAUUCCAAUCAAAAUUUCUAUAAAAUAAACCUUCAAUUCCAUCAUUUUUUUCAACAUAAACCUUACUAAAAAAUCUAUUAACUUUUAAAAUUUCAACUUAAAUCCAAAAGCAUUUCUCUCUAGGAUUCUAAAAACAUCAAAUUUAUAAGAAAAGGACUUGAUUAAACUUACCAAUUAAAUUUCAAGCUUUAAAACCCUAAUUUUCCCUCUCUUCUUUCUUUCCUUUUUCUUUCCUAUUCUGUUUUGAAAUGGCUCUGUUACUUUUAGCUUUGUUUCUUUUCUUUUAUGUUUUCUUUUUUUUUAUUCAUUUACUUUAUUUUAUAUUUAAGUUAAUUAAUAAUUAUAAAAUAUCUAUUUUAAUAACAAAUAUAAUUAAUACAUUUGUGCUAUAUCAUAACCUUACAUUUGUCUUAAUCUAACUAAUUUAUCAAAUAAAUAAAAUUUUUUAAUAUAAUAUUUAAUUAAUAAAUAUCUUUUACUUAAAAUUUAAGAAAAUAUACAAUUAUAGUACAAAUGUACAAAUACAUAUAUUACACAUAUAUUUUAUCAUAUCCAUACAAUUGACAUAUUUUGAUUUAUUUAAUAAUAUAAUAUCAUUAUAAUUUAAUUAUCAUUAAUUAUAUAAUUAAAACAAAUAAAAUCUUAGAUUUUAUUCCUUUAUUCCGCCUCAACUAUGCCAAAUGGCUUAAUUUCCAUUUUAGCCCUUUUUAUUUUUUUAAUCUAUAAUUAGACUUUCACUCUUUAUUCAAUUUGAUCCUUUUUCCUAAUUACUUUUAAUUAAACUAAAUUCACUAAAUAAAAAAAAAUCUAAUUAAACACACUAUCAUACUCAUAAUUUUAAUUACUCCUAAUACUUAUUUACUAACUCGACUUACUAAGACGGAGGCCCGAUAACACACUUUUUUGGUGCCCACGAAUUUUGGGUCGUUACAUAUUCAAUACCAGUAAAACUAUAGGUUUUUUAAGGACAUCUUGGUCUAUCAUAAGCCCAUAUUUUUACAGGCUUUCAAGACAUGUUUGCCUAGAAAGCUUCUUUUUUUUUUUGAAAGCGCAUAAUUAGAAAGCUUUGAUAAAUAUACCAGGGAUUUUUUUUUUCUUUUGUAACAUUAGUGGCAUCCCGGCACUCAACAUCCUCUUCAUCAGAAGAGCUGUCAAAUUGACAAAUUCAAAACCAAAGAUCGUUCAACAGUUCAACAAUCAAAUACUUACUUCAUCUUCAUUUGAGCUGCUAUCUUCAUCUGAAGAAUCCAAACUGCUAGAAGAUUUGCCUUUAUUAACAGGUGCAGAGCCAUUUUUAACAACUGCUACCUUCGUUUUGGCAGCAGGCUCCUAUAUCAAAAUUAAAUAGAAGAUAAAAAAUCAGCAGGUGGUAUGGAAAAUUUUUGGUUCAGUCCAUCAUUAGCCUCAGUACUUACCUCUUCUUCAACAGAGCCAUCAUCAGAAGAAGAAUCAGAACCGCUAUCAGCUUUCUUUGUCUUAGCAGCAGGAACCGAGCCCUUUUUAGCAACUACAGGUAUUUUAUUCUUGGCAGGGACUUCCUGGGAAAAAAAUUGCAACAUAAACAAUCAUACAAAGAACAUGUGCAACCAUGCAACUUUUACAAGCUUGAGCGUAACACUCACUUCAUCUGAGGAUGAAUCUUCCUCACUACUAGACUCAGAAGAAACUGAACUGCUUGCUUGUUUUUCUUUCUUUGCAGGUAAAGACCCAUUUUUGGCAAUGGCAGCCUGUUUCUUCAGGGGCACAGGUUCCUGAACCAUAAAAAAAUAAAAAAUAUAUAGCAUUAAAAAGGCAAAGCAGAUACAUGAUUUCAUAUGCUUCAUUUUAUUUUUCUAUGAAUGUAUUACCUAGACAAUUAAGAGAAAACAAUAAAAAACAUAUAUAACUAAGUUAAAGCAGUUACAUAAUGUAAUGAACUGAUACAAAAUAGAACAUGAAUGACAAGUGAACUAUCUGCAUAAAUCAAUACAAACAACAACAAACGUAGAAUAAUAAGUAAAUGAGACAGUUGCAUUGUUCAUACAUCCUCAGAAUCCGAAGAGUCAUCAGAAGAACAACUAGUUUCUUCUUUCUUCUUAGUCUUCUUCUGGGUCUUCUCUUCAACCUUCUUCUUCACAAUAGCUUGUGCUACUCCAUCGUUUUGCUUCUGCUUUUUAGCAGCCACUUGUUUUUCAGGAGUUUCUUCAGCUUCUCUCUUGCCUAUACAAUCAGUAACAAAAAGAAAAUUGAAGAAAAAGGCACACAAAGUACAGUGAAAACCUUAAACAAACAGUUACGCUACAAUGUGGACCAACCUGAAAAUACUCAACCUUUAUCGCACACUUUAAGAAAGAAAAAGACUAAAAAUUCAAAACUAAUAAUGUCAGUAAGUAUAAAAUAUAUACCGGCUGAGGAGGAGUUGCUUCAACCUAUAAGAGAUAAAUUGGAAAACACAAAAUCAAACCAAGACUAAAAUAAUAAAUGGAUUGAAAAAACGAAAGAAAAAGCCGAGAGAAUAAUUAGGAGUAAAAACAGAUGUGAAAGAAGAGUACUUUAGUGAUAGAUUUCUUGCUUGAUGUCCCCAUAGUUAGGAUCUACGGAUUAUGUCAUAGGGAAAAUAAAAACAGACCAGAGUUGCUAGACCCUAAUAUCAGUUUAGAUAUUUUUUGGGUAGGGCUUUGGGGAGAUAUUUGGAUCUAUUAAUUAAAUAUUAUAAGAGAUAUUUACCCGCUGCCAAUGAGGCAGUGGGUUUAGGGUUUUGCGACGCUUAGAUAGACCUUGUUUGUGUUGUGGUGAAUUAUAAUAAUUAAUUUUACCAUUAUUAUUACUAUUAAUCUUAUCUAAAAUACAUUCUAUUACACUUGUCGCGUGUAACAACUGCCUAGUGGGAUUAUAUUUGGGGUUUUCAACUAGCUCACCUAUGAUCCACUCCAUGGGUUAGGCUCGGCCCAGUUUACACCUUAAAAACUUGGACCCAUACCCAAUAAAAUACUAUAGUUAAAAUAUGUUAUUAAUCGUUAUACUUUGACUAAAUUUAAUAUUUAGUCUCUGUGUUUAAAGUUAAAUUUUUAGUCCUACUUUUUUAUAUAAAAAAUUUAGUCUAGUCGUUAAAAUCAAAAGCAUUUUUUGUUAAAUUUUUCAACUUGAAUUUUUUAUUAGUUUAUUCUCGUAUGACGUGACAUAUGAUUGACAAAAAAUAAAUUUGGCAAAAAAAUACUUACUAUUUUAAUGACUAUUCUAAUAUUUUCAAAUUGAAAAAAUAGAAAUUUUCAAUUUUCAAUUUUUAAAGUACAAUACCAAAUCUCAAAUUCUAUACAAGUAAAGGGACUAAUAGCACAUUUUAACCAAAUUCAAAACAAUCUUUUUUUUAUAGAAUGCCUACUUUUAGUAAUAAGUCCCCCAACCCUUGAAUCGAAGGAUAAACAUGUUUGGUUGCUCUUGAACUCAUGUCAUCCUAAUUAAAGCAAUAGCGACAGUGCCAACUAAGUUAAUGCUCAAUCGUGACACUUUUUUUUUUUUUGAAAAACAUAAAUAAAAAUGGGUAUAUUUAUACUCUUGUGAAAAAUGUAUGGUUUCUCUUAGUUUGUAUGCUAGUAAGUUAUUCAACUCAAGUGGUGUGUUAGAUAUUUAGUUUAGUGCUAAUAAUGAUUGAAUGUAUUGGUGUUAUAACUUCAAAAACAAACAUUAUAUUAGAGAAAUUGUUGAGGUUUUAUACUUUAAAAGUCUAAAGUUCAAAUCUUAAUAAUAUAUAUUUUAGAUUAUUUUUAUCUUUUAAUGUUAUAUAAUAUCUUUUAAAAAAUUUACUCAAAAGAUCAAAAUCAGAACAUGCUAAUUUUUUUAAAAAAUAUCAUCCUUUUAAAAACCAAAUAUUUAUAUAAACUAUAUGUAUUAACUAUUAUUGAUGUGAAUAUGAUAUGAUCUAAUAUUUAUUUAAUAUUUUUAUUUAGUCAGUACUUUGUGUCAUAAAUUAAUUAGUAUCAAUUUAAUUAAAAGUAAAUAUAUGUAUUAGGAAUGUGAAUAUAACAAUCUGCCUUAUUUAAAGGGAAAUUUUUUUCUCCGAUAUAAAAAUUUAUAAAAAAAAUUAUGUUUUUUUUAUAAUGGAAUGUCAAGUAUAAUGUAUUUUAUAUGAAACAACUAUUUUAGCCAAGUUAUUGACUCGCCCUUAUAUUGGAUCAUGCUGCCUCUAACACGCAUUUUCACCCCUAUAUCAUACAAAUAAUAUCUGACAUGAUUGAUUGAAAUUCCCAGUGAACAAAAACUUUCCUCAUAAGAACAUUAAUCCACUUGUUGGUGUUAUCGCUGCAAACACAAUUCACUGUAGCAAAUUGUUGAAGCCAUAAUAAUAAUGAACAUAAAAAUAAUAGCCGACAUCGAAGUUUAGAGUUGCAGUCUAUGUUAUACCAAGCUAUAAACAAGUUCCUAUUAUAGUCCUACGCUAUCAGUAUCACUCCACAGAAUUCAACACCACCAUCUUUUUCAAUCCAAAUACAAUAAUCUAGCAAAAUUCCAUUCUAAAUAUCUCACUGUGAGACUCAAUAGUGGUCAACCUGGGUCUAGCAACAUGAACUACAUCAUUCUCAUGUCUUCUAAAUGCAUUCAGGAUAGAUAUAGAUAUUUGAUUUAUUCUUCAGAUGAUUUGAUUAAGGUUAAGGAUUAUAUUGUUGAAGAUCAUAUCAUUCUUAGCUUUCCAAAUGGACCAACAACUCAUUAGCAGAAACAUAUACUCUUGCUAUCUAAAGUUUCAAACUGUUGAGUAUGACUCUUAUUUUAGUCAAAUUUGAGAAAUAAUCUUUUAGUUAAACUCUGUUUAUUUGUUUCAAUCAAACUCUAAUUAGUCUAGAUUAUUUUGUUAUUAUUUGACCUAUGAAUUUAACCUAUAAAUAGACUCUUUUACAACCUUAGAAAAUACACCUAUUAGAGAUUAGAACUCAUAACACAUUUAAAGAAUUUUGUGUUUACAUUUUGAGGGUUCUUUAUUUUCGGGUUUUUGGGGUUUAGUUUUUAUCUCCAUCUUUUGUACUCUUCAUUCUUUUGCCAUUAUAGUAAAAUUAUCAUUGCUCGUGGUUUUUUAUCCUCUUUGGAGGGGUUUUUCUACAAUAAAUUUGUGUGUUCAAUUUCUCAUUUACUUGUUCGCUGCUUAAUCGGGUCGAUUCCCAACAAGUGGUAUCAGAGCUAGUUCAAUUUCCAUAGAUCAACCCAUUCAGAAAUGGCAGCAACAAGGUUUGAAAUUGAGAAGUUCGAUGGUGAGACAAAUUUCAAUCUGUGGCAAGUUCAUAUGAUGGCAAUUCUAGUUCAAACCGGCUUGAAAAAGGUUGUUACCGGGAAAAAACCCGAGAAUCUAAAUCAAACAGAAUGGGAAUAGCUUAAUGAAAAGGCCUUGUCUACAAUCCAGUUGUGCCUCGCAAAUACGGUAUUGCAGGAGGUAUUAAUGGAGAAGACCUCAUCCGCCUUGUGGAAAAGGUUAGAAACUCUUUAUGCGACUAAGUCUCUAGCUAACCGUUUAGUGUUGAAACAACGUUUAUUUACGUUUCAUAUGAAUGAAUAUGAGUUUCUUAGAGAUCACAUCAGUCAACUCAUUACUCUUUUAAAUGAUUUAAAGAACAUUGAGGUUCAUAUUGACGAUGAAGAUCAGGCUAUGCUAUUAUUAUGCUCUUUACCCCUUCAUGCAAGCCUUUCAGGGGACUCUGAUUUAUGACAGAGACAAACUCUCGUUCGAAGAUGUGAAGGGUCAUUUGUUGAGUAGAGACAAACAUGACAAUGAGUUUGGUUUGGAUAGCAAGGUAGAUAAGCAAGCUUCUGUUUUGGUAGCAUUAAAAAAACGAGACAAAAGGUGUCGCUAUUGUAAAAAAAGUUAGGUCACGUCAAAACAGAUUAUUAUAAAUUACGAAAUAAAAGAGUUGCUGAAAGUAACGAGGAAGAUGUAGCUGGUGCUAAUUUGGCCGAUAAAAGCGGUGAUAAUUUCUUAUUAGUGUCAACGAGCGAUAACUCUAAGCUUACGUCCGAGUGGAUUCUAUAUUCAGGAUGUUCUUUCCACAUGUGUCCCAAUAGAGAAUGGUUCUCCACAUACAAUUCGGUUGAAGGUGGAGUUGUGCGCAUGAGAAAUGAUUCAUCUAGUAAGGUAAUUGGUAUUGGUACUGUUAAAAUUAGGAUACAUGAUGGGACAAUUAGGACACUCUCAGAUGUCAGGUAUGUACCUGAUUUACGAAAGAAUCUCAUCUCCAUGAGUAUUUUAGACUUGAAAGGAUGCAGAAUCAACAUCGAGUCGAGCGACAUUAAAGUAUCUCGUGGAGCUCUUGUUUUGUUAAAAGAUAAAAGAACCGGCAGCCUUUACAUUCUAGAAGAUUCUACAGUGACCGGUGAAAUCGAACGUUCCUUGUCCGUUACGGAGUCGAAGUCGAAGUCAACUCGUUUGGAGCAGAGACAACUUGGUCAUAGGAGGGAAAAAUGUAUGAUCGUUUCAUUGAAGAGAGGUUCUUUUUUGGAUGCAUGUUUUGAAAAGUUAGGGCACUGUGUUCGUGAAAAUCAGACUCAGGUUAAUUUUAAUUUAGCAGUGUACAAGUCGAAUGCUAGAAGUCUUCCAAUUUCUAAGCACAAAUUCGACUCAAUUACUUCCCCGCAUAGUUCAAGAUAGGCCCAUAGCGGGACUUUGGCAAAGAUGGCAUUGUGGAAAUAUGAGUCAAGGUGGAGAUUUGUUGAGUAUGACUCCUAUUUCAGUCAAAUUUGAGAAAUAAUCUUUCAGUUAAACUCUGUUUAUUUGUUUCAAUCAACUCUGAUUAGUCUAGAUUAUUUUGUUACUAUUUGACCUAUGAAUUUAGCCUAUAAAUAGGCUCUUUUAAAACUUUAAAAAAUACACUCAUUAGAGAUUAGAACUCAUAACACAUUUAGAGAAUUUUAUGUUUAUGCUUUGAGGGUUCUUUAUUUUCGGGGUUUAGUUUUUAUCUUCAUAUUUUGUACUCUUCAUUCUUUUAUCAUUAUAGUAAAAUUAUCUUUACCCGUGGUUUUUUAUCCUCUUUGGAGGGGUUUUUCCACGUUAAAUUUAUAUGUUCAAUUUCUCAAUUUCUUCCGUUAUAUUUACUUGUUUGCUGCUUAAUCGGGUCGAUUCUCAACACAAACCAAGAUUGAAUACAUUGCCAAAUUUUCAUAUUUUGCAUAUGUUCAAAUUUGAGAGUCGUAUUAGAAUCAAACCAUACUAAUCUGAUUCCAACAAUAGUAUCAGAGUUUCGUUUGGCAUAUUUUUAUUUGUCUUGCUUUUGAUUUAUUGUUGAAAUUGAAAUCUUUUCAUAAUUGGGAAAUUUUUUUGUCUAAACUGAUUGGAAUGAAAAUGUUUUGGUUUUGCGUAUAAGUUGAUUUCUAAUUUUUCUGUAUUUAUCUACAAUAUUUUUCUGUGUAGUAAAUUUUCUUUUCUUUUUCUUUUUGCAAUCUUAACUCUUUAAUUGAAUUAAAUAAGGAAAAUAGUGCUCAAUUUGGAUCCGUUUAGCAUCCAAAACCCGAUUUUGAAGUUAGACUACAGAAUUUGGAAAAUAGCAAUUUUUCAAUUUUGCGUAAUAGUUGAUUUUUUUUAUGUAUUUAUAUACAAUAUUUUUAUGUAAAAAAUAUUUUUUUGCAAUCUUAACUCGCUAAUUGAACCAUGGAAAAAAAACGACGCUCGAUUUGGAUCAAUUUAGGGGUCAAAAUCAACUUUUGAAGUCAAACUACUAAAUUUGAAAAGCAACAGUUUUGUGCGCUUUUGGGGUUGUUUUGGGUUGUUCUUGGUACCAAUAAAUUAGGAAUCAUUCCUAAAUUAUUCACAUAUGAUAUGGGCAAGAUGGUAGUUCAAGAUUGGCAUGAAAAAUCGAGGUAAAUUGCAGCAAGAAUUGCUACACGAUUUGUUGAGUCACUCAAGACUUCCCUUCUAUUUAAGGCGUGAGUCAUGCUAAAAUGGGUCUUACUCAAUUAAAGUCGUGUUGUUCGGAUGCUUAAAGACUUGACCAUGUGAUUUUAGAGUCAAAAGUUAGGCAAAGCACAUAUGAUGUGCUUAGAUAAGAAGUUACCUCCUAACUAAUUUGGGAGUUGUAUUGGAUGCAAUAGGUAAGUUAUGUUACCUACCCAAAUAGGCUUGUUGCAAUUUGUUGAUCCACUUAAGGUUUUAACAUGUUGAAAGGGGUCUUAGCCCAUUAGAAGUACCUAGAAUAGACCCCCAUAUAAUAGUAAGGGCUAUUAUUACAAAAAGUUAGUGGGAGUACUAAUUUAAAGAUUUAAUAUCUUAUCUUAAAUACGAUCAAAUAUUGAUUAUCAUUUUUCCAUAAUUAGGUUGUUGUGUGAUGUUAAAUAAGUUUCUUAUUAUUCUACAAUAUUUGUUAAGUCAAAAAUGUUGGUAGCGUACAAUAGCCACCAAAAUUGUUUUGUUUAGUUUUUAUUUUAUUUUUUUAAUAAAAUUUCUCUUUUGAUUAUUUUUCUUUUAUUUUAUUGUUCUUCAAUUUAUGAUUAGUUAGAUUUAUUCUAACUUUAGGCCGAUUUUUAAUCUGAUGUUUCAACUAUAAGGCUUCAAAAUUUCACAUAUAUUCUUAAGUUUAGUAUUCGUUAAUUAUUUGGUUUAAGAGAUAGACUCAAUCGUCUCACAAUGUUGUUUUAACAUCAAAUCGAGAAGGGCGCCUCUCGUUCAGUGUUGGACAGCAUACAGUUGGUGAAUGCAUAUGAUCUAUAAUUGUUGUAUUCGGUUCACUAAAGAACAAAUUGAUGUAGCCAAUUGAGUGAGGGGUUGGAUUCGUCAAGGGAGUUAAAGAUCAAGUCUAAAUGACAUGUGCAGUUGAGGCCGUUGAUUUGAGUCGAGCUCUUCUAGUUAGCAAGGCUGUUAAUGAGCUAAAUCGUAGAAGUUGAUUUUAGGGUUGUUCACUUGGUAAGAGUUAACUGUCGGGUUGUUCACACAAUUAAUUUACCACCAUGGAAGAAUUAAAAGAUUUGAGGUUCAUGCUUAAUCUUUAUAACCUACUUAUUGAUUGGAGGAGAAAAUUUAUUGUCCAGGAUCAAUUCGAAGCCGAAGUGAAAAUUGAGUCUAGAGCUAGAGUUUUCAUUUUAUUGGUUUAUUCAAUUUUAAUUUUGUUUUAUUUAUUUCUGCUUCAUCUUUAUUCCUAUUUAGUUUUUGUUAUUUAUUUAUUUUUUAGAUUUAAUCGCCCCUUUGUUUUUUGUAUUGGUUAAUGAUAGUUGUGGGCACAAAAAUUGUCAACAACAUGUUUUGAUUAUAAAAAAAAUACAGAUUCGGAUAAACCAGUCUUAAUGAGAUCGACUCUACUCCCUUUACUGCAAAUUUAAUUAAGGUUUUAGGAGUAAGAAUUUAUUUUUGGUGGAUUCGACACUCAUUAGUGGAGCAUUACAAGUUUGUUUAAAGUGUCAAACCACUAAUGUUAAAAUCUCCAACUACUUCUCUACUGACUUGACUUAGUUUUCAACCAUAAUUUAGACUUAUAAGCUUGCCUCCUUACGUAGUCAUAUGAAAAAACUUAGUUACCCUUUAACAAUUCAAUUAAAACAAGAUUUUUGGAACUAGAAUAAUUGUUCUUGUUCUAAAAGAGCAUAUAAUUCCUUUAGAAUACUAAGUUGCAUAUCUUAAUUGUCUUGGGAAGUUAUGUUAUCCUAUACAUCUUGCAAGUCAUUCUUAAGUCGAAUACGUCUUUUUGUUAGAUUCCAAAGGUAGACCAAUUUCAGUCAAUCAAUUUACAUAACAAUCAACGGUGUUGUAAAAUUCAGUUUUGUACUGAAUUAAUUGAGUAAAGUUAGUUAAUAAUUUAAAAUGGAAUAAAUAUGAGUUAAGUGCAAAUUGGAAAGGUCGAGCUAAUAAGUGUUAUUGAAUUAAACUGGUUAUUAAAGAUAGUAUAGAGAUUGCAUUGUAAAAAGAUAACCAUUAUUAAGAUUUAAAUUUAAAAACUGAAGAGGUAGGAAAUUAACCUGAGGCUAUAAAAGAAUUUUAGCCAUUUUUAAUGUUAUGAAAAUGAUUAAUGAAAAGUUGAGCCAUCACAUUCCACUAAUUAAAAUUUAGAUAGUUAAACUUUAGAUUAGUAGCUAAUUAACUUAAUUAGUUUGUUAAUUAUUAUAUAUAUAAAGUAAGUGGGGGAGAGAAAAUAUCAUUUCCACCAUAUUCUUUUCUCACAUCGUCCACUAGAAAAGAAAGAAAAACAAAACAUUUCCUCCAUUCCUUCAUUGAUGUAACUUCAAUUGGGUAGAUAGAUGAGUUUUAACUUUAAUUUUAAUUGAAUUAUUAAUGAUUGAUAUUGGAUAAUGUAAGCCCAAGUGAUAAAAUUAAGAAUUAAUAAGCUUUGGUAUAGUUUUAUUGUUGGGAAAAUUUAAGAACUCUUCAUGUUAAUAGUUUAUAUUCAUGCAUGUUAGUAGUAGUUAAGAUUAUAAUUAUUUACGUUGAAAUUUUGGUGAAAAGUAUUGAAAUAGGUUAGAAUUAGUAAAGAUUAUAUAAUUAAGUUAUGCGUAAGUAAGGACCUAGUUGUAAGAAACGAAAACUUGAAGUUUGAUAAUAAAUAAUGGUUAUAAGAAGUCCAUGUACUAUAUUUAUUAAGUCGAGUUUAAAUUUGACCAGGUAAAUUAUGGGUUAUGUGUGUUCUGGAUAUUAGAGUUUUGGGGACUAAAUUGAAUAAAUUGCCUUCAUGAAUACAAUGUGUUGAAUCGUGUUUGAAUUGUAUGAUUAAUGAAUUUUGUAUAUCUAAAUUUAUUGUACGUGGCUAAAGAUGACGUCGGGACGUCAGAAAGCAAAGGGAAAGGCAAAGCUGUUGACAAAUAGCUAAUCCAGUUUGUGCUCUCAUUAGGGGUGUGCAAAUUUCGGGUAAAAUCGAAUUAAUUCAGUUAAUCGGUCGGUUAACCGAAUUAAUUCGGUCGAGGGUCGAUUAAUAAUUUUUUGAAAGUUUGAUUAACGGUUAAUUCAAUUCGAAAUCGUUCGGCUAAUCGAAUUAACCGAAUUUAAUAAAUAAUAUUAUAAUAUAUAAGUAUUCGGUCGGUUUGGUUAAUUUUUUGGAAAUAUAAAUUAAUCGGUCAGUUAAGUAAGUUAUUUUUAUAUGUUUUAUACUUAUUUUAACAAAAAAUAAAAAAAUAUAUAAAUUUCGGUUAAUUCGGUUAACCGACCGAAUUAACCGAAAAAGUUCGAUUCGGUUAAUUUUUUUUGAAAAUUUUUUGAUUCGGUUAACGGUUAAUCGGUCGGUUAAUUCGGUUAAAGGUAGUUCAGGUUGGUUAACCAAUUGAACACCCCUAGCUCUCAUGAUUCGAGUUCGUUAAAUAAAUAUAUGUAUAUGUUUGAUUUGUUAAAUGUUCGAAAAUAGUAAUCUAACAAUAUGAUAUAUUCAGAAGGUAUGCUUUUACUUGAUUAUGUGAGUUGUAAUAAUUUGGUUGGUUGAAUACAUGAAUAUAUGCUUAUUGAUGAAAUAUGAUUAAUUGUAAUGAUAUUUGUCCUAUUAACGUUGUUGGAUAGAGUUAUGGGUAUAGUUGGCAUGCCAUAGAGUUCAUUUUGAUAGGUGGAAGAUUUAACACUAUAUGCGUACAUAUCGUGUAAUAGCCCGAUUUCUAGUGAUGUCAAAAAUAGUGGUUCGAGAGCACCAAAUCCGACAAGUGAGCUCAUAUAUUUUAUUAUUUAUUGUUUAUGAGCCAAAUGUGAUUUUAGGAAGACAUUUGAAUUAGUGAAUUGUGUUUUAAAAGAUUUAUUAGGUUAAUUGGUUUCGAAAACGAGGUAUUGAGACCUCGAUUUCAUAAACUGAGCCAUGAAUAUUUUUAUAAAUAUUUACGGAGUGUCAUUAAGUUAGUAUUAAAGUUUCGUUAGAAAAUUUUAACGUUUUGAUGGUUAAUUAAGUAAAAAUGACUAAAUUGAAAAAGGUGUAAAACUUGACAAUUGAAGAAAUAGUGAUUAAAUGGUUUAAUUAAUGAACAAAGGAGGACUUAUGGAGCAAUUAUUCCUAAAUUAAAAGAGUGAAACGGCACAAGCAGAGAAUUAAUAAAAUAAAGUGAAAUAAGGGUAAAAUUGUAAAUUUCAUGAAAUUAACUUAAAUAAAUUGAAUUCUAAAGAUUUCUAGGCUAUUAUUCCUCAAUUUCUCAGCCAAAAACACCAUAGGAGAAGGUUUUAAGAUGGUUUUAUUUAUUUUUACUUCAUGUAAGUCUAAUUCUUGCUCUUUUCUUGACAUUUUUGUGUUUUUAAGACUUUUACAAUUAGGUCCAACUAUCUAUUUCAUUAGUUUUUGAUUCUAUGGGUAAUUUUUAAAGUUACCAUUGAUGAGUGCUGGAUGUUUAUGAUGAAUUAACAUGGAUUUAGAGCUUUAAUUUUAUUAUAUGAUUAUUUUAUCAAGUGAUUUCAAUAGAAAUUGAUUUUAGGACCAAAUUGUGAAAAGAUUAAAUAUUAGGGUUUAAUACUAAAAUUAUAUUGAUCAAAGGCUGUGUGGUAGCUUGUAAUAAUUAGAUAAAUUUUCAAUUAAGAAAAAUUAACUUAUUUGAUAGACUAAAUGGUGAAGGACUAAAUUGAAAAAAUUGUAAAAGUUAGAGUAAUUGUGUAAUUUCAAAAAUUAAAGGGUAUUAAUUGUGAAGUGAAUGAGAAUUGAAAUAUAUGCUAAUGAAUGAAUAAUUUUAUAUUUUAGAUCAAGAGCUUGUAGAUAAUCGUGAAAAGGGAAAUUAGCAGAAUAGUCUCUGAACUACUACAAAUUCUACAAUUUAACCUAGGUAAGUUCGUAUGGUGAAAAUUUAAUGUUAUGUGUUAAGUUUAUGAAUGAUAUUAUGUAUUAAUUCAUAUCAUUUGUUGAAAAUUAAAUUAUUAUUAAAUUAUGAAAUUGAAUUGAAUGUCUGAAGUGAACGGAAUGCGGGAUUGAGUACAAUCGUUUAGUGCAAAGGAGGAAUUGACGGAAAAUUACCCAAGUAAACCGAGGUUCAACAUUUGUUGCGAACUUUUGUGUUUAGUCUCCGUUUAGCUCUCAUGAGCUUUAGUUAACUCAUAUGAGUUUCUGUUUAACCCUAUUGGUUUUCAGUUAAGCUCUUAUGAGCUUCUGUUCAACCCUUACAGGUUUCCGUUUAGCACUUAUGUGCUUCUGUGUAGCCUUCGGCUUCUAUAUACAAUGUACUCAUAUCCGUAAGACGUUCUCUGAUUUGACAAGGGUUGUUAAGUGACAUAUGAAAUUAAUGUUUGAAGACUUAAAGUUAUUAUUGAUAUUGAUAUGAAAUAAGUGAAUUCAUCAAUUGAAGUUGUGAUUGGUAGGAAAUGUAUAUUGAAUGUUUUAUUUAAAUGAAUUGUUAUAGUAUGUUUGGUAAGCUUUAUGUUUAAAACGAACUUACUAAGCUUCAAUAAGCUUACUUGUGUUGUUUAAUGUUCUCUGUAGAUUUUCGAGAAGUUGGGAGACCAGAACAAAACAUCGAAUCACGCUAUCAAACUUGUUCUGGUAGAUUUUGCAAUACAUAUUAUGGUUUAUAUAGCAUGUAUAGGGGUUGAAAUGGUUAUGUAAAUGUCAAGAAUUACAUUUUGUUUAUGUUCAAAUUAACUCAUAUAUGAAUGGUUCUAACAUGUUUGGUAUAGUAUUAGUGUGGUUAAUGGAUGGAUAGUUCCUAGGCUUAGUGAUGAAUAAAUUGGUAAAACAUGUUGAUAUAGGUAGUUGCAUGUGUGAAUUGUUUUAUAUUCUAAUUAGAAUGUUAGAAUAUAUGUGAUAAUAUGAUCAUAUUACAUAUAGGAAUUGGUUGUUUUAGAGAUCUUGUUAUGGCCUAUAUGUAUGAAAUUUGAGGUGUGUAGGUUGAAGUCAAGAAUGGGUGAGAAAAGAGGCCAUAAAAUGACAUAUUUUCGUCCAUACGGGUAGAGACACGGGUGUCUGUCUCAGCCGUGUGUGACACACGGCCUAGCACAUAGGCAUGUGGUCUAGCCGUGUGUCCCUUGCAUAUUAAAAUUUCGAAACAGAAUGCCCAGGUUUUUGCAUGCGGUCUAGCACACGGGCGUGUGGCUUGGCCAUGUGACCCCUGCACCUUACACACGGCUUAGCACAUGGUGGUGUGGUUGGCCGUGUGACCCAAGUCAGAGAGUUACAUAGGUAUAGACACGGGCUGGGACACAGUCGUGUGCUUCACAUUAAAUGCCCUCACAGCCUACGACACGGGCGUGUGUCCCUUGCUCCUAAGAAAAUUUUUGAAAAUUUGGGAAAAAUUUUCUGAGUUUCUGGUUAAGUCCUGAUUUAUUUCAAAUGCAUAUUUUUGGCCUCAAAGGCUCAUAAAAGGGACAAUAUGAGUAAUUUAUGAUUGGUUUCGAAUAUGUUUAUUAAAUAUUGUGAAAUGUUUGUAUUUAAUCCUUAAAGUCCUAAUGCUCUGUAACCUUGUUCCGGCAACGGAUAAGGGUUAGGAGUGUUACAUAUCGUAAUAGUUCUCUAAUACCUUGACGGUCAAGAACGUAUCACUAGCUCAAACACCCUGGGGUACAAGUGCAUUCUAGUGUGGUUGGUGGGGUUGGUGGACUUAUGUCCAAUUAGAACUUCGAUGCGUAUUUAGUGUGAUGGUGAAUUGAUCCGAGCAUUCGUUCUUGUAUCUGAAUUUGUUAAUAGGGGUUAAAAAUGUAAUAUUUCUUAUUGUAUACAUGUGUAGCUUAAUUGAGAUAAAAAUGUUGAAUUGUUACAUUAUUUGAUAUGUUAAAUUAGAUACAAAUACCUUAAGGGUGCAUUAAAAACUAUAUCGAGUAGUUCAGUAAGGCAUUGAUGUGAUUCAGUUGAAAUAAUAAACGACUUAUUGGUAUAUACAUAUCUUUGGUAUUAACAUGAAUUGGGUUUGUUGGUUAAUUUGGAUUAUUAUGUUACUUAUGUUGUUUAAAUCUUGUUAUGUUUGUAAUUGAAUUCUAGUUAUAUUACCAUCACUAAGUAACCAUUACUCAAUAUACAGGUUUGUUUGUUUCCGUGCACAGGUCUCGGAUAAAGCUAAAUAAAAUUCGUGGUCAAGCACCCAACUCUUUAGCUCAGCUUGGAAGCCAUUACAUCUCAUUUUGUAUGUAUAUAUAUGUUCAAAGUCAUAUGACAUGUACCUAGACUAGUUAGCUUGUAGCUUAAGUUAAAUUUGACACUUUUGGUAAGUGACCUAUAAAGUUAUAUAAGUUGAAUUUUUAUCUUUUGAUUACUAGAUAAUUAUGCUUAAUUGUGUGAGUUUGAAUGUGCAAAUUGGUUGGUUUAGUAAUGAUGUAUUGAAGGUUAUAAUUUGGCAAUAUUUGAACAUGUUUAGAUAGUUUAAUUGUAUGAAUAUGUUUUGCGAUACAUUUGAGGUAUGUUUAGGUUCAUUUGGUUAAGGCUUUGGACACCUAAAAGUGUAGGAUUUUGACCAUUUAGUCACUAAGUCUCGAGACAGAAAGAACAUGUCUCAAGAUUGCUAGAACAAAUUUCAUUUAAAUUUUGUAUUCAAGGGCCUAAGGUCUCGAGACAAGUGGUCUUUGUCUCGAGACAGAAGAACAUUGAAGCUUAAUUGAUUUUUGCCUUGUUCGAGUUCUCGAGACAUUCAAACAUCAAAGUAAAAAUGGGAAAAUAGGGGAGGUUGGUCUCGAGACAUAAAAGGACCUUGCCUCGAGACACAUGUAGUUUCUCAAGACAUGCUAACUUUGAAGUUAAAGUUCCAAAAUAAUUUGUAAUGGCCCAAAUUCAAGGUUAUCGGAAUAGUGGUUUCGUAACCACAAAUCCGAUUUAAAGAGAAAUUUAUUUUAAUAGUUUUUGCAUGAAUAUUGAUAUGAUAGGAAAAUCGUAUGAAAAUAUAGAUAGAAGAAUUUUACCGAUUUAGUGGUUAGUUAGAAAAAGAAAUUAUUGAAGAAAUUGGAUAAAAACAAAGUAUCGAGACCUCGAUCUCGUAAAUUCAAGUCAAAAAUAUUUUUAUAAAUAUUUAUGAAGUGUUAGUAAUAUGGUAUUAAAAUUUCGUUAGAAAAUUUUAAUGUUUGGGUAGUCAAUUAAGUGAAAAGGACUAAAUUCAAAAGGGUGUAAAAGUUACUAGAAGGAUUAAAUAGCUCAAUUGUUAAAUGAGGAGGGACAUAAAUUGCGAAUANNNNNNNNNNNNNNNNNNNNNNNNNNNNNNNNNNNNNNNNNNNNNNNNNNNNNNNNNNNNNNNNNNNNNNNNNNNNNNNNNNNNNNNNNNNNNNNNNNNNNNNNNNNNNNNNNNNNNNNNNNNNNNNNNNNNNNNNNNNNNNNNNNNNNNNNNNNNNNNNNNNNNNNNNNNNNNNNNNNNNNNNNNNNNNNNNNNNNNNNNNNNNNNNNNNNNNNNNNNNNNNNNNNNNNNNNNNNNNNNNNNNNNNNNNNNNNNNNNNNNNNNNNNNNNNNNNNNNNNNNNNNNNAUUAGUUUUUGAUUUUAUGAAUGAAUUUGAAAGUUUCUAUGAAUAUGUGCUGGAAGUUUAUGAUGAAAUAGGAUGAAAUUUAAGCUUUAAUUUGUUUAUGAGAUGAUUUUAUUAGGUAAUUUCAAUAGAAAUUGAUUUGUAGGACUUAAUUGUGAAAAAGUUGGAAUUAAAGUCUAGUGCUAAAAUUCUGAUUUCCAAAGGUUAUAAAGUACUUUAAAGUGAUAGAAUAAAGUUUUGGUUGAGAAAAAUCAGCUCAAUUGAGAGGUUAAUUGAGCAGGGAUGGAAUUAUCAUUUAUUGAAAGCUUAGGGAAAGAAUGGUAAUUAACAUUAUGCACUAAAACAAUUUUGAACAGCAGCAGUAGUCUAACUUUGAAAAAUCACCAAAAAUUGUAGAGAUAGAAUUAGAGGAUGAAUAAAAUAUGAAAUUAAAACUUAUUGAGUCUAAUUUCUUAUAAAAGAAACGGUGUAAGCAAUGGAAUUGUAAAUCAUGAGAUAUAAUAGAUUUUAUGAGACAAGGUCAGAAUGAAUUCGGGUUCCCCUGUUCUGACUUUGGAAAAUCAUUAAAAAUUGUACAAAAAUGAUUAUGAGUUAUAAUUUACAUGGUUAUAAUACUUAAUGAGUCUAUUUUCAGAAGAAACAAAUGGAAACAUCAUCCGAAUUCUGAUAAUUAAUUUUUAGUGAAGAGAGGUCGGAACUGUCGAACAGUGAAAUAGGGGAAACUUUAAAGAAUAAACUGUACUUAUUGGCUAAACCAAAAAUUCUAAAAAUUUUAUGGUAAGAAUAUAUGUGAGUCUAGUUUCAGGAAAAAUUAGCGGAUAUUAAUUUGGAGUUCCGUAGCUCAAGAUAUAAAUAAUUUAGUGACUGUGACUCAGUGAGACAGCUUUGAAUGCACUACAAAUAACAAUGGAAUUAUAGAGAAUGUUACAUAUGAACAUGAAAAGUAUUAGAUUAAUGAUUAAAUUUAUUUAUUUAGAUCUAGAAAAUUCAAAUACAAAGCAAGAUCGAGGAAAAGAAAAAGUUCAGGAUUAGUAGAUUUUUGGUUACGAACAAGUGUCGAGGUAAGUUCGUGUAACUUGAAUUAUAUUCUUAAAUGCUUGAAAUAUAUUUUUCUUGAUGUGAAUAUAAUUUAGAUGUUUAUUGUAUGAUAAUUUAUGAAGUAUUGAUAUUCUUGAUGAAAAGAGAAAAUAAAUCUCAGUUGAAUGAAAGGAAAAUUCGAUGGAUCUCUGAAAAGGAAUUGACGGUAAAAAGGAUCUAGCCCGGACGAGUGAUCCUAUCCUGAUAUAGCCCUCCCGAAGAAUAUGUGGAAAAUGGAUUUAGCCUGGACGGGUAAUCCGAAUUAGGGUCUGAAUUUAGCCUGGACUGGUAAUUCAGAUCCAAGCUCAUUAGAGUAAUUGUCAUUGCAGGGGAUUUAGCCUGGACUGGUAAUCCCGACAAUACUCUAUGAGUUUAUAUUACAGGGGAUUUAGCUUGGACUGGUAAUCCCGCUGUAAGGAUGAGGUUCGCGGGAGUGUGCUCUCUAAAAUGGAAAUGUGCGCACAUGAAUAUGAAUUGACGGACCCGAAUUUGAACACUAAAGUGUACCUCUGAAAAUCCAUCGAAAUUCUGAGAAAUUCAACGGGAUAAAUAUGGAAAAAUAACAAGGGAAUGAAAAAUAUGGAAUUGAUGAGCUCAUCAAUCAUUUGUCUUUGUAAUGAAUUUAUAUGAUGUUUACUUAACUAUUGCAAAAGUUGAGUUUGUAUGUGAUAGGUAUAUGUUUAUGGGAAUUGGAUGUGUGCUUGCGUUAUUAAAUGAUAGGUGUAUAAUAUGGUAAGUAUAAUUCUUGUUGCAUGAACUUACUAAGCACAAUGUGCUUACCCCGUUCUUUUUUCUCUAUUUUGUAGUACUCGGGAGCUCGAAGGUUGGAGAUUUAGUCGGAGCUUUAUCACACUAUCAACCCAUAUCUUUUGGUAUUUGAAAAUGACUUAUUUUGAAAGAAUGACAUGAAUAGACUAAAUACCAAUAUUACAUAGAAAUGAAUGUUUGUAACUUAGCUGUUGGUAUGGCUAGAGUAAGUAUAACUUUGAGAUCUUGCGAAAAAUUUCUUAUGGCUUCGAUUUAAUAUCAGUUUAGUCCCGAUGUAUGAUUCAAUAAAUGAAUAGUAAUUAAACUCGUAAUAACAGAAAAAUUAAUUCAGUAAAAUCUGGUAAUGCCUCGUAUCUUAUUCCGGCGACGAAAACGGGUAGGGGGUAUUACAUAAUUUAUGACCUAUCUAUAGACAUGGAGACCCCUAUCUCGAGACAAUAAAUUUGAAACUUAACUUUUCAGUUUUGAUUCGAGUUAAUCUAACCCCGUAAAUUGUUGAAAUAAAAUCUAUCAGUGUAUAAAAGCAUGUAAAAGGAUUAUUUUGUUGAAUGAAUUAAAUGUACUUGUAUUAUAAUAGCCUGAGUUGCUUUGGCGAUGCAAUCACAUUCAGAUCUGGCGAUUAGGUUAAGUGUAGGGUGUUACAAUUUAUCUCUUGUGAUUUUAAGUUUCCGAAUUAGGGAAUAGGGUGGAAACUUAAACAAUUAGUUUUCCAUGACUGAGUAACAAUGUCGCUACAUUACGAGUGAAUGGCCCACAUCAUUUCAAAUCUAUAACGCCUUUGGUAAAAAAUUCAUUAUAUAAUCUGUAUGUAACACCAUAGGCCUAUUAUAACACCCUACAACUAACCCAAAAGACAACCAAAUGUAAAGCACUACAUAUGUUCUCAAAGCAACUCGAAACGAACACAUACACAUUCAAAAAAUUUGAAAUUCCAAUGUUAAACAUAUCCAUUGAGGAAACGAAUAAUUAAAAGUCAUUUCAAGUGUUAAAACGAAGUCAAAUGAACCUGCAUAUAGUAAUCUAGGAUAGAAAAUGAUCAAACAUGAAGCCAAGUUACGUUUCAUGGGUCAAAAUUUCAAAAUAUAGGGUUAUAUCUCGAGACAAACAGACAAACCAUAUCUUGAGACAUGCCUCCUUAUUCCAGACUUCAGUUUCAAUGUUUUAUGUUUUGAGACAUUGCCCCUCAAGUCUCAAGACUCGAUUUUGAUGUUUUCAGUCUUGAGACAAUGGAACCAUGUCUCAAGAUAAGGCACCUUAUAUGUCAAAACAUGUUUGAUAUGUAGAAAGUUAACCUUUCAAGUCAUACAAACACAAUUCUAAAUGGUUCUAAUCAUUCCCAUCAUGCAACCAAAGUUAUACAAGCAAUAUUGACAUACUAAAACAAGUCUAAAACAUAAAAUUUCAUGAUUAAUAACACGCUAAAUCAAAAUAUAACAAGUAAAAUGAAAGGUGUAACAAUCGAUAUUUGUAACACCCCUAACCCGUAUACGUCGCCGUAUUAAGGUUACGAGGCAUUACCGAACAAACACAACCAUUUUUUUUCCACACCAAUUCUUAAUACAAAACAUACAUAUCCGUCAAUUCAAUAUCAUAGCACAACCGAAACUCAUCCCUUAACCAAUUUACAGCAUAAACACCACUUCAAAUUAAGGUUAGAUCAUGAUCAAAUAUACAUUAUGUUCUUUCAUACUCUUUAGCCGAAUUGUUUAAUAAAAACUUACAAGCAUUUUUACUAUGUUUUAAACUUACUAAUACAAACUAAUUCAUAAUUUAUUCAUGAUGUAACCAAUCAAGAAAUAUAAUCAAGUUAUCAAUCAUACUAAUUAUCAUUUAUACAAAUAGACUUAUACCAUGGUCGAAUCAUUUAAAUCAAUCACAUUGAACAUUCAACCUAGAAUAUAUAAAACUAAGUUUAAACAUAAUGAUCAAGCCAUUUUUAACUAAACCGAAUUUAAGCAUAGGAAAUAGACCAUUAAAACAUAUUUGUUAAUACCAAAUUCAAAACGAAAAGAGAUAAGCCAUUUUCGCAUGGCUCAUAUUCACAUAUCCCAAAAAUUUAAACAUAUUAACUAGACUAUACAUGCCAUAGGUUCGAGUUCAAAAUAUAUAAAAUACCAAAGACGGUCGAUAGUGUGAUAGAUUAUGCUGAUGAUCCCCAAGCUCGUAACGCGUCUCAAAAUCUAUAGAUAGAUAGACAAGAUACCAAAGUAGCUUUAUAGCUAGUAAGUCUNNNNNNNNNNNNNNNNNNNNNNNNNNNNNNNNNNNNNNNNNNNNNNNNNNNNNNNNNNNNNNNNNNNNNNNNNNNNNNNNNNNNNNNNNNNNNNNNNNNNNNNNNNNNNNNNNNNNNNNNNNCUAAAAGAAUGUAUAUUUAACUAAUAUACAUAAACGGACAAAGGUAUAUACAUUAUAUGCAUAAAAUCAAAUUACUAACAUAAUCAUUAUCUGCAUAUACAGAUUUCUAGAGUACUUGUUGUUCGUACUUCAUCGGAUCCAUUUAUAUAUAAUUGUUCAAUUACAUAUACCAAAAGCAUAAUUUUUAUACUUAUAAACUAUAAAGGCCGAAUGCACAUAUUCACUUAUACCCACCUAUGCCGAAUGCAUACAUAUAUACACUUAUAUCUACCUAUGCCGAAUGCAUACAAAUAUAUAUCCACCUAUGCCGAAUGCCUACAUAUGCACNNNNNNNNNNNNNNNNNNNNNNNNNNNNNNNNNNNNNNNNNNNNNNNNNNNNNNNNNNNNNNNNNNNNNNNNNNNNNNNNNNNNNNNNNNNNNNNNNNNNNNNNNNNNNNNNNNNNNNNNNNNNNNNNNNNNNNNNNNNNNNNNNNNNNNNNNNNNNNNNNNNNNNNNNNNNNNNNNNNNNNNNNNNNNNNNNNNNNNNNNNNNNNNNNNNNNNNNNNNNNNNNNNNNNNNNNNNNNNNNNNNNNNNNNNNNNNNNNNNNNNNNNNNNNNNNNNNNNNNNNNNNNNNNNNNNNNNNNNNNNNNNNNNNNNNNNNNNNNNNNNNNNNNNUUCGCACAUUAUAUAAUCACAACCAUAACAUUUGAACUUUUAAUUGAAUCCAAAAAUUUAUACUUUUAUAUACAUACCUAUUCGAACAUCACAUGUAUAUGUAUGAAAUUCACACAUCAACUAACAUAAAUUUUAUACUUGUAAUUAUAACUCAUUAAUUAUAAAAUAAAUAUACUUAUAUAUAUAUUGAUUUGAUAACAUGAAUUUUUGCUAACAGACUUACCUCGGACAGUGAAAAAUUGAAAUCGGAUAAUUAGUCGACGAUUUUGGUUUUUCCCCGAUCUAGCUCCGAUUUCUUUGGUUCUUGAUCUAAACAUAUUCAAAAUGAGCUAGUUUAAAUAUUAUCAACUUCAAUUUAAUCCAAAAACACAUAAAUGGAAAAUUACAAAUUUGCCCCUAACAUUUUACAUUUUUCACAAUUUAGUCCGAAUUACACAAAACACAAAACAUUCAAAUUUUGACUAUACUAUGGUUAGGCCGAAACUUCAUUAUACUCAUACAAGUCCAUGCAUUUCAUUUAUUUCGUAUUUUAGUCCCUCAAAAAUUUAUUUUCACAAUUUAGCCCUAAAUACUCAAAUUCAUCAAAAAUCCCAAGACAAAACAUGUUAAUCUAACACAUAUAUUUCAUAUUUCAUCAACUAACAUCAUAAAACUCAAACAUCCAUCAAUGACACAUUUCAAAAUCAUCAUCAAUUCACAAAAUUUAAGCAUGGGUUUUGAAGAACACAAAACAACGAUAUCAAAAACGUAAAAAUUAUCAAAAACCGAACAAAGAACUAACCUUAAUUAAAAUUUAAAAUGGCCGAUGUAGCUAGGUCUUCUUUCUUUUUCUUUUGUUUAGUUUCGGUCAUAAAGAUGAAGAAGAAAUAAAAUAAAAUGAUGAUGGCUUAUAAUAUUUUUAUUAUAACAUAAUAAUAUAAUAUACAUAAUUAUAACCUUUAUAAUUAAUAUUAAUAAUAUAAAAACUAUAUGCUAUCACUUAAUGCCGUCCACUAGCAUUUAAAUGAAUUAAUUGCCACAUAAGACCUCCAUAUUAAAAGAACAUCCACUAUUCAGCCCUUUUAAAAAUGACCACAAAAUUUUUUAUUUUACGCGAUUUAAUCUUUUUUUUAAUCGGACACUCAAACGACGAAAUUAAAUCAUGAAAUUUUCACACAAGUAAAUUCACACAUAAAAAUUAUAGAAAAUAAUAUUAAAAUAUUUUUAGGACUCGGAUUUGUGGCCCCGAAACCACUAUUCCGAUUAGGGUCAAAACCGGGUUGUUACAAUAUUGCAUGCUAGAAAAUCAUUCAUAAAAGUAUUAACAAUAGUGUUUACAAUUCCACUAAGUGACCAAAAAAACCCACUUAACAUCAUAUAACCAAAAACAAAGGCAAGUCCUAGACAUAAGACACUAAAACAAAAAAACAAAAAAAACUUAAGCUUAUGUACAUGCCAUUAUUUUCUAAAGGAAAAACAAAGUCUUUACAACCGAAGUAGAGUAGCUAAGCUUGACUUGAAAAAUCGUUGUCCAAGGUUAGAAAAUAUUCUCAGAUUCACCUGAAACCUCCAUACGGAACAAACAGCAGAACGCUUAACUUUCUAUUAAGCUCAGUAGUGCUAAACAACCUCCAAUAACACUUUAUUUGCCACAUAAGUCAAAGCAUACUAAAAUGCAACACAAAUUGUCCUCAAAACAUUGCAACAUGCUUUCAAAUAACAAUUAUAGCAUCAUUAGAAAUUCUCCAAUCAAUUCAUAGUAAAAAAUCACUAAGUACUAUCAUUACCAAGAAAAACUCCAGUUCUCAUGAACAAUGUUAUAUCCAUUUUCAUAACUAGGCAGCAUUUACCACAUUAAACUUUGUUAAAUUAUAGCCCUUAUUGUGUAACAUGACUUCUGACCAAACACACCUUCAAUGUGCAAUGCAUCAGAGUAUACCUUCCAAGCACACAAAUGUAAACAUAUGUUCACUUAAAAUACACACCAAAUCCUAGAUGCAUUAAGCAAACUUAACAAAAUACACAAUAUUAACGAAAUCCAUAACUGAUGAUAUGCCAACUGUAUCCAAACAUAUUCCAAAUAUGAUCACACAAAUAAUUAACAACUUUCAUAAAAGCCUAAGCAUUCAACUUAAGAUAGCUCAUUAAGCAAAAUUGAAAAUUAAAGAGCACAAAUCGAAACCAUCACGCUUCUGAAACCUUCCCUUUCUCUUUUAUCUUUAGAAUUUUCUCUCCAAUCUCUUUAACUUUAAAUUCAUAUCAAAACAAGUUAAUAAAACAUUACUCAACAAUUGAAACACCUAAUACUCACUUAAAAAUUAAUAAGAACUUAACUUGUUUUCGUUUUCUAAAACUCCAUGGUGGCAACUUUCAAGUACAUGCUUCAAACUCAAAUUAAACUUGAAAUUUUCUAAUCCCAAAUGAUUUUAAAUUUAAAAUAAUCAAGAAACCAACUUAAAAACUAUAAUAAUAAAAACACAGAAACUCUCUCUACCUUCAAAACUGUCAAAAAUGAAAAAAAAAAUUCUUUGAAAUCAAUAAAUUAAGUUUGGAAAUCAUUUUUACCUUAUUGAAAUCAAAAUUUUUUGAUCAAAAAGUUCAAAAGCUCAAAGAAUCCAAUCCCUCUCUUCUACAAUGGUUCACAAGAAAAUGAGAUAAAAGAGAAGAAAAUGGAAAAUCACAUAUUAAAAUUUGAAAUUUAGGAUGAGUUUUAAUAAAAUUAUUACCUUUAAACCUGAGUUGAUGAAAUUGAAUUGAAGUUUCUCGAAAGAGAUGAUAAAAUUUUGAGAAAAAAGAAUCAUCAUGAAAUAAAACUAACUCAAUCUUUCCCUCCUUGUUUAUUUUCAAAAAUGGAAAUUUUGCUCCCAUGCCCUUAGGCAAAUAACCUCAUAAGGACUCUCUUCCAUCUAAUUCUACUUUUUAAUUCUAAGAUUGACCCCACUAAUUUUAUCCAUCUUACAAUCUAGUCCAAAAGCCAAAAUUCUAUUUAACCACAUUCAUCUAAUUAAUGCAACUUAAUAACACUACUAACUAAUUUAAUGACCUGAAAAUCCAUCACCAUGCUCACUCCUGAAAGCCUCUUAGUUCUGCUUACCAAAAUGACUCAGGUUAGAAGUUCUGGUACACUAACGAAUUUUCUGUCAUGAUAGAUUUCAAGACGUUACAUUUAUGAUAUGAAACAUGAAAGAUCAAUUAAAAGCCACAUAUGAUCGAAGUUCCUGAUAGCAUUUUCAUUAUAGAACACUCUAUCAAUCUUUUCCUAGACAACGUCCUCUCCGUUUCAAUUAUUAGUCCAAAAAUAAUGUUGACCCUUUGAAAGGAAUUCAAUCAUGUUGCACAAACGUUAGUAAAAUAACAGUAAUAUAAACUAUUUAUUUAAACCAGAAGGUUGAACAAGAACAAUAUAUAAGCAUAUAUAUAAAAAAAAUUGGAAAAUAGAAAAUAAAAUUAGAUUAAAAUAUUAUAUUGGCAAUUGAGGCCUGUCUUAACAGUCUCCUUAUUUGGUGCCGAAGAAACGUUGGUCAACUGUCUCCCAGGAUACAACAAUAUGAGCAUGGCAGUAGCACAACUGCAGUGAUCAACAAACAAUAGCAUUGCCUUCAUCUAUCACUGGAAAACAAAUUGGAAAAUAAACGGAAAAUUUCAGUGUGUAUCUUUUCUUGAAGAUUAUUUGGUUUUAAAUAAAAAAUCAAAUGAAGAAGUUUUGGAAAUUGCUGUCUGAAUAUUUUGAGUCACCCACAUCAUGUAGGUACAGCCCCAACCUUGGUGGAUUUGGAUUUGCACCUCCUGCGUAUGAGGGAAAGCAUUAGUUCAAUUAUUCAAUAACUAUCAAGUCGCUUCACAUAUAUAAAUAUACUCCACACUUGAUAUCUAACCAAUGUGGGACUAAGCUUUCCAUUUUCCUCAACAUAAUUCACAAGUGGCUUACUUUUAGUAUCAAUUUCUCAUUCUUCACUCAACCAUUUUGAGCAUAUAAUAUACCGUUGUGAAGGUCUCGUGGAGUAGAAUAUAAAACCAUAAUUUUAUGAUUCAAAUCUCCACCUCUACUAAUCGAGAAUAUGCCUCAAAACUUCCAAGAAAUCUAUUUUUUCCAACAAAUCAUACCACACUUGUGGAUACCUUCAUAUAAUUUCUCAACCAUUGGUAAUUCUAAUGAUUUGAAUGAUAAUUUAUCUUCAAAAUUUAAUACCUAAUUAAAAUUACCUAACACAAUCCAAUUAUUAUGAUAUGACAUUAAAGAAGGGGAUUCAUAUAUAUUUUUCCUAUCCGUGCUCCUUUUGUGAACUAUUGGAUGUCCACGAAUACAAGAUAACUGGAAAAAAUCACAACCAUCAACAACAUACAACAAACCAAGUGUUUUUUUUUAUUACAACAUUAACUUUUAAAGGAGUCUUCUACAUGACGAAGAGACUUCACCUUUCCCUUUACAAUAUAACCCCUCAAAAGCAUGGAAACCCAACCUAUGAGCUAAGUUGAUGGACUUUUCAACAAAAGCACGAGUUUCCAUUAAGAAGCACAAAUUAAUCUUAUAUUGAUGGCUCAAUUUGUAACAUGUUAGAAAGUAAGAGGCUGACCCAGACCUCUUACAUUCCAUGUGAACCUAAUCAUGGUUCUUUAGUAGGCAAUGUCAAUUAAAUGUUAUCCACUUUGACUAAAGAUGGUGUCUAUUGUUGAUAGUUGUAAUUAUCAUCUUCAACACACAUUCCAACUGUUAAGGGAACUCCCCGAUUAGUGAGGACAUUUUGAUGUAUAGCCCCAACAUUUUCAUCAGUAUUAAUAUUAAUAUGCCUACGCAACGUAGCUCGAGAGUCCGCCUCUUGGUUCCUUAAUUCUUACUCUCUUUUACUUUUGACACUAGUGGAGUCGUCGGAAUCUCCGUAGACUUGAUUCACAAGAGUAUGAUAACAUUGAUUACUGAUCAGGCUUCUAGCAUUCUGCUCUUCAAAAUCGAGUUUAGUAUUACUUUUCAAAAGUAUUUUUAGGAAAAAAAAAUACUUUAGUCAUUGAGCUUGGGUGAUCAACCAAUUUCCAAACUUGAAAUAGAAAAUCUAUAUCACGUGGGUUAUUAUUUUAAUUUUUAUCUUAAUAAUAAUAUUUUAUUUCACUCACAUGUGCAUAAAAAUUUGGUUUUAUAAAAUACAUGUGUACAAAUAAUUUUAUCUUUUAAAUAUAUUUUAAAAAUAAUAUUAGUACAAAUAUAUCUAAAAAUAAAAUCUAAAGUUCUCCGAAUCAAAGGACAAAUUGAAUAUAUUGGACGGUUCAACCAUUUUUAAAAUUAAAAAGAAUAAACCAAUAACAAUUAUUUUUUAGAAAAAUUUAAAAUAUUAAAAUUAUAAAAAAAUGAAAAAUGAUAUUUACAAUAAGUUAAGAAUAAAAAUAAAGGGAUAAAUCUCAAAAUUAUACAUGAAUUUUGAUUUAAUGUGUGAUUUGAUAUAUAAAUUUUAAUUUGGUACAAUUAUACACAUGAAAUUUUGAUUUGUGGUUCAAAUGUAUACAAGAAACUUUAAUUUUAAUUCAAUUAUACACAUUUAAAGAAAUAAAUACAUCUAUUUAUUUUUAUAUUAGAUAAAUAUAAUUAUACGGGUAUGUAAUAUAUAAAUAUAAAAUAAUGCUAUAUUAAUAAUUGUGUCAAUAUUUUGUAAAAUUUGGAUUAAAUCAAAAUUUCAUGUAUAAAUUUACACAAAAUCAAAGUUUAUGUAUAAAAUUACACAUCAAACCAGAAUUUAUGUAUAAUUUUAAGAUAUAUCCCUAUAAAUAAAUCACAAAAUAACAAAAAUAUCCAAUUUUUUGUUAGAAAAUAUAAUAAAAAAUCAAAUUAGUUUGUUUCUGUUUCUUUUUCUAAUUUUUCAAUUUCUAAUUUUUUUUAUUGGUUGAAAAUGCUUGACUAUUUUUAAUUAUAUGUUAUUUGAUUGAAGCAAUAGGACCAUAAAUUUAUGAUUAUACCAAUUGAAUCCCUCAAUGCGAUUCUAACACUAAAAUCAAUUUUCAAACUCGAAGAAAUCAAAUCGAGGAGCCUGACAAAACACACUAUUAUUUGAAAAAGGCACUGCAUAAAUGCAUUAAUCCCUUAGAUUUCAGUAUUGGAUUUUGGCUAACAUGCAUUUAAUAUGAGAAUUUAAUUUUAAGAUUGCUUCACUCCAUUCUUCUUUUUUUCCAACAAUAAAACUUCAUUUAAAAGAAAAAAAAGACUUCAUUCUUGACUCUCAGCAACCUACGCAAUUCACAUAUAUGUAUUAUGUUUCAUAAUCUUUUAUCAAUCAUAUAAACAUAAAUAUAACAAAAACUAUUUAAGACAUCAAAAUCCUAAAAGCAAACACAAAACAUGUUAAUUGUGUUUCAACAUAUCAUGUUUAGAACUGCUCUUCUCCGGGAACGUUCGAAUGAAGAGUGUGUUAAUAUAUGCGAGCCGACAAUAACGUUGGCCAGUGGCAAAUUGAAAAUAUGUUUGACAAUUGACAGAAGCAACUCCAAAAUAAUGUAUUUUCAGCUGACAAAAAUUGAAUAUAAAAAAUUUUAUGUUACAAAUGCCGAGACAUUAAACAAAAAGAAAAAUGAGAAACUGAAUUUGGGACUCCUGGAAAAAACGGUCUAUUAAAUCAAACUGACUCUGCUUGGCAUUAAAUAAAAAGAAUCUUGCCAUUGCAAUGGUAAUGGAGUUGAACACAACUCAGUUAAGCUGUAUCUGUCUUUGAAUCCGACAAUGCUAGUAAAAUACGUAAUUGAGCCAUGCCCUCAUUAUUUUGUGGUUUCAACAAAGAUUAUUGAUAAAGUAAUUCAGUUUAUUGGAAAAGUCGAAACAACUUACCUUCAACUAUGAACCCAUAAGGGCUCUAAAGAGAAAGGCUUCUCAGUACGUGUGAGGGUGGAUGAAGUUCCAGAUGGAGGCGCAUGCACAGUUAUAGGAAGAACCCACUCACUUUUGUCUCUACCUUCUACUAAAAGAGGAUGCUCGUAUCUGAAUUCAAAAUCAAGAAGUGGUUGCACAGCUUAAUAUUAUAUCUGGUAACACCUAAAGCAGGAAUUUUCUAUUAAUUUCAAUAGAACUAUGAACAGAGUUUUACCUAUUUUAACCCAUUUUAAUUUUGAAGUCCAAGUCUAACCUCUCUUGUACGACAUUACAAUUUUAGGUAACAAUUUUUGUCAAAGCUACAGUAGCAAUGGAAGCCAACUUACAGGUCAUACUAAAUGCAUUUCCAGAAGUUUUUUUAUUUUUAUUUUUAAAUCUUCGAUUAUUGCUUCUUUUCUGCUAAUACCAUGUCAAAGUAUUCUAAAAAGGUAUGAAAAAUGUUCUACCAUAGAAAAUAUGUAUUGAUGGUAUAUGCAUAUAGCCGACAAGCAUACAAUUGAUUGACAAUCUUCAAUGCCAAGUAAACCAUUACUAAGAUUCUCUUUUGAAAAGCUAGAAUGAUUUGAUUGCAAUCAGUGUCGCAUGGUCAUACCUUGUCCAGUCUAAGUUCUUUGGAGUAGUGAAAAAUUCAAAUCUUAGAGCCCAUUCAACCGAGAUGUGAGGAGUGGAAAAGGACAUGGGGCCAUCCAUUGGAAUAGAGAAAAGAAAACUUGUCUGUACUAAAUCAGCAACAACCUCAUGAUGAUCACUCUGAACCUACAAGAGAAAUCAAUAAAAAAGAUUACAAUAGCAUCUAAAGAAAAUGAGUUUCUUAUCUUGAUUUCCAAAGGAUAAAAUGGUUCCAAAAAGUAAAACCUUCUAAGCUAAAUAUUGAUGGUGUAUUAUGCUAGUACCUAGGCAAAUGUGGUCAGACGGUAAAAGCAAUGCUCAUUCUCAGGAAUGGAAUGAUGGCCAACAUUAUAAGGAAUAUAACAUAUUUUGAAGAAUAAAUUGAUUUUAAGAUUCUUUUUCUUUUCUUUUUUUCUUUUUUUUUGGGGGGGGGGGGGUAUAACUAAACCACUUCAAGAUUCAAUUACUUUUUCAUGCCUAAAUUCAUUUUAGUUCCUUUCUUCUAUAAAGGAACGUUUUCAUUAAAAUCAUAGAAAUAGGUUUAGGACUUUUGGAGUACACAGUAGUAAGCACUAGAAGGAAAGAGAAAGCUCUUUGGAAUUGGGAUAAUGAACACUAUCUGUAAAAAAACUAUAAAGGAACUGGAUUCUAGCAACCCAAAACUUCUUAAAAAACAUGCAGCAAUUUUUCAAGGUGUCACUUUCCAAGCAUAUAAUGUAGGUCAUUAACAUGUGCAUGUAGCUAGAUAAAGUGAAAGCUCAAAACAGACAUAUAAAUAAAUAACACUGUAAUUCAUUAAUGAACUGUAGAUUAGAAAAUUUUGGAUAGGAAAACCUUUGUAAUUGUUGGGGAAUUCCUUCUAGAAGGAUGAACAAAACGCCGAUUUAUGGUUUCAGAAGUUUCCAGUGUCACUGAAACCUAAAAAUAGCAGUUCUUCUAGUUAACCUCAAGAUGCAUCAUUCAAUAGUUCAUAGUUUCUUCAGUUAUCUAGUAGUUUCUCAAUUUGAUCAUUACCUCAAGGCAUCUUCUAGCUCCUUCUUCAUGAAAGAAAGUAAGAGUACCACCUAUCUGUUAAUCGAAUAGGUAAAAGGAAUACAAUAAGAGAAGAAGCAACAAACAUGAUUUAAGCAAGGAGACAGAAGCUACCAGUUUAACUGAUUUUACCAUAUCACUAAAGUAAUACGUGGACUCAGAGUUUUUGGGGGAAAAUCUUAGCAAAACAUGUUCAUCCAUCCUGAUAUUAUAGGACCUUCCUCGAAUAAAGCCCUCUGCUGCAGAAAAUGCUAAAAAUUAAGUUUACCAAGAUUCACAUAUUAAACAGAUGAAGACAAGAUUUAUGAUGCAUGAGAAACAAACAAAACAUAAAAAAUGUCAGAAAGUCUGAUACUUUACAGGCUACAGAUUCAGUAGGUGCAGAAGAUACUCCUGUUACAUCCGGAUAUAGAGUUCUUGCAGGAGCCUGCUGCUGACUUUGAGAUAAAACAGCCAAUGAUUUGUCUGUUGGAAAAUAUUUCGGAGGGCAUGAUAAGGAUCAGAAAGAAAACCUAUUAUCUCGAAUCAAACCAAUGGUAUUGCCUCAGCAUGUGUGCUGAAAAUCUUACAAGUAAUCACAACAAUUGAACCGAACACAUAAGUAUGUCUAUAUGAUGACAGGAAGGAAAGACAAGUUUAGUGUAAAGUGCAAAUAGUGUCUGUACAUAAACAAGUAUAACUUCUUGCAAAUUGCAUAAUCAAGUAUAAUUUAAUUACCAGUGUUAGAAUCAUGCAUGACCUCAGCCACUGAUAAUCGAUGAAGUCCGACAUUUGAAGGCAAACUCGAAUAGUCCAUAUCAUGAUAUGGACCAUCUCUAUUUGAAGACCUGGCUGUUGUUGAUUCAAAGGAUAAGGAACUUCUAAAGCUUUUAAUCAAAUUUUCCUUCAAAGGGUUAUAUGAUGAAACAGAUGAUAUUUCAUCUCUUGAGCUCUCAUACCCUUCCUCGACACCAUCAUUCGUGUCACUCACCCUAGCCUGUAACUAAUAUCAAUUUACUGAGAAAUCAUUCAACUCAAACAAUAAGCCAAAAGCAUUAUCAACAUUAAUAACGGCCUUACCCAUUCCGAGUCUCCAUCUAUCUCUUUCCAAUACAUAUCUGUUUGGAUGGUAGUGGAAGGAACAAUAUCUAAAACAUCAAAAGGAAACAUAGUUAUCAAACUUAAGUUAUUGUCAAAUCAGAUUGAACUUAUUGAAUUUCUUUAUAUUACAAGCAAUGACUAAUGUUUACAAUACUAGAGUUAGCUCUAUGAGAGAGAAAAGAGAAAACGUCACUGGAAACAAAAUCUAGCAAUGAUUGGAACAUAUCUACCUUUGCUUAAGAUUUAAAUUCUUACAUCCUUCCUGCUUUAUUGUUAGAGUAAUUACAUUUGCAUCCUAAAACUUCAUUAAAAUUCUUGACUAGAAGCAUAUACUCAUCACGUCAAAACUGAAAAUUACUGCUUAUCAAUAAUUUCACCAAAUUUAAUAAAUUAAAAUAGAGGAAGAGAGAUCGUAAAGUUGAAACUUGAAAUGUUAACAACUUACCAUCACUUUGGCCAUCUUCCAUUACCAAACCAUUUCCCUUCUCAGUUACCCAUACUUGAAAAGGAACACGAGCCUCCUGUUGGAAGGCAAAGUUCAUAAAAAUCAAUGAUAUAUCAUAACUCUUCCACAUAAUACAUAGUUCAAAGAAUCAGACUAGGAUGAUGACUAGUCCUCACCAAGAUACAGUUGCGCAUGAGGACAAAUGCAAAAAAAGAAACACAUGCAUGGAUAUGCCAAAAUUCCCCAAUGUGUUUAACUAUAAAUUUACGUACUCUAGCUUUCAAAAAACAUAAAUUUAUGUACUAAAAAAGGAGCCAAUAAGAGAGGACAAAGUGAAUUAUCGCCAAUAUUAAAUACAAUUGCACAAAUGAAGUAAACAAAAUGGUUAACGGGCACUCAAAUGCAAAUGACAAAAUCUUUGACAUUUAAGGAUUUUCAAAACUUCAGCCUUAUAUUCAUAAACAGAAACCUUGCACCAGUAUCAAAAUACAAAUUUAUGAAAGUGAAAAAUAGCGAUAAACCUCCAUUGCUCCUCACAUAUGAAACAACAAAUAAACUUAUGAUUAUCAGACUCUUUUGUUCUUUUGACUUUUCCCUAUUACAGCGGGGCAAGUCUUUAGCAGACUCUCUGAACCCUAGGUCAGAAGUAGCUUUGUUACCAGAAAGUUCAACAAGAUUCCUAUUUCAAGAGCACUAUCAUCAAGUCAAACAUGUCUAAUUGUAAAAGAUAACAGAAGAAAAUUUUGGGAUCGAUCACAAAAAUUAUGAAUAUAAGUAAAACCAACCACUUUGGUAAGAUCUUUUACGGACUCCUUGCUGGAGUGACCAUUUUCCAUUAGCAGCCAUGGAACAGACAUGGUACUCUUUAUAUAAUAUAAAUAACGAAUGGUAGUACCCUUGUAAGAUGGUGGUAUAACGCUAGGAAGCAUAGCUCGUACCACAUCUACAAAUAAGAGUAAAAAGUAAGAUACAAAAAGAAAACCUGUUGAAUGAAAAAUAUAAUGAAAUAAUAACAAGGUAAAUAAUUGUGACAAAUAACCAUAGCAAGCAGUAACAAGAUACUGUAUACUAAAAACCAUUAAAAAUUCAUUUAAAAAAACUGCAUGACUAGGUGCCUAUGGUAAUUCAACUAGAAAUGGAGACAUUUACAAAUAAUGCAAUAUAGCUUUCAUCUUUGAAAUCACCUUUUUGCAUAUUUAGCCCUUUUUGCAGAUAAGAGACUCAACAUUUGUUCUUUCUUCCUUCUAUUGUUUUUCUUAUGACAAAAUCCAUCUUUCUAGCUACAAUUUUUCUUUCUAAAAAGUCAAUGAACUGAAUGAAUUAUAAUUCUAUACUAAUUUUUAAGCAACUUAGUAUCAUGCAGUUUUCAUCAAGAAAAGAACUAGGAGUUUGACAAAAACAGGAUUGCAUUUGCUCAUCACUACAACGUCAGUAUAUUCAUUUUGCUUGAGAAAGAAAUACUCACCAAUAGCAUUGAUUACAUUUUAUGAUGGAUAAAUAGAUUUCGAAAGAAAAAAAAAGAACAAGUUUUACACACUUGCACUUAUAUAUAUGUACCAUAAAACAUUAACAGUAUAUAGACUAACAAUUUUUUGAAGAGCCAGAAUUCACAAUCUGAUUUGAAACCAUUGAUGGUGUUGAAGAAUCCAAAAAAACAUGUUCACCUGAAAAAAAAGGAUUGAGAACAAUAAUAUAAACAUAAAAUGCACAAAUAAUAAUAAUAAUAAUAAUAAUAAUAAUAAAAGGAAAGAAAGAAAGAAAGAAAGAGUACAUGAUCUUUUUCUUUCCUUUUGGUAUCAGUUUCAGUUCUAUUCACCUCCCAAGGUUAAAAACAAGGCCGAUUGCUAAUGCAAUUUAUCUAAAUUUGAAAUGACGUUGAAGACUAAUGGCCAAAAAUUAAAAGAUUACAUGAUACUAAAAUGUAAGAAGAAACUGAAAAAUGUUGGCAAAUAGCAGUUUAGACACACUCCUUUACAUUGAUCUGACUUCAUUCUCCUAGAGAAAAAAGUAUAAAGCAAAAGAAUUUCGAAUUCAAUCUAUUAAUAUAAACUCUAAAUAAGUGAGCAAUGAAUACAAUUUUAAUCCAACCUCUCCCAUGUUUCAUUCCGGUCGAUGGUUUUUGGAUGGCAAACCAUUGGGUAUCCAAUUUCUCAAUCCCUUUAAUUUCGAAGCCAAGCCUUUCAACCCAAAGUGAAGGCACAGUACUACUAGUCUUGUCACCAAUUAGGGGAUUGCAGAUCUCAAUUGUGACAUAGAUAGAAUCUCCAGGUCUAUAAACAUCUCGAUCAGUUUGCAGUUUUAGUUUUGGGUUCAAUUGACUUAUAUCUCCAUCCUCGGUACCAACCUUACUAUAUCCCCCAUCUCCAAAGAAAGAAAACCUAUAUGGCAACAUUGCCUCUAAACAAAUUUCAUGAAAUUCAUCAACAAUGAAAUCAACCUGCAAAAUGUAUAGCAAAUGUAAAAUUAAAGAUUGCUUUAUGGAGCACAUGAACUGCAUUCCAAAUAGAAGGAAUAAUUGGAGACCUAAAAUAAGCUACUUGUUUGGUUGUCGUACAAAUUUUAAGAAAGACAAAUGGGUUGGCUUUCCAAUCCAUUUUUCCUUAGGAACCAAAUGGAAAUCAAAAUGCUCCUUCAGAGUUAAAUGAUCCAAAAUAUUAAAAGAAAAAUAGGAUUGAUAAACAUAAAGAUUCGAUAAUAAAUUAAGUUUAUGUCACCUUAAAACUGAGAUCACGAGGAAAGGAAAUUGAAUGUGUUUAAAUAACAAAGGGUCAAAAUGUAUGUGAAACAAUUAAAAGGAAAGGAAAGGAAAGGAAAUGGCAAUAUGGAGGAACUCCAGGUUUAAGCUCCAAUCGCCCAGAUUUGAAAUCCUGGUUUGGUUAGUUAAACUUUUUUUUUUCCUUUUAAAUCUGCUUGACUGACCUGACUACUUAACAGACGCCACAGCCCCGCGCGCAGAACUCACGGUAUAACGCGCAAUGAUGAGAUGGGUAGGCCGGGUUGACUUUACCAUAUCUCGUUACCCAAAUUCUUUAAGUGCAACUAAAAGUGUUCAUAGGUCGAGUUCAGCUAUCUAAAUCAAUUUUUUAAGUUUAGAAUCGGCCUGGCCAUAAAAAUGACCUUAUUUUUUUUGCUCAAGCUUGGUUCAAUUUAAGAAAGAUAAGUCCAGGCCUGACUCGGCUGGUCCAUAUUUUAUUAUUUUAGAUUAAUUUUUAUUUAAAAUUAAGAAAUUUAAAAAACAACAAACCAAAUGCAUUAAAAUCUCUAAAAUAAAAGUUUUCUAACACAUUAAAAAAUAUUUAUAUUAAAAAAAUAAUCAUAAAUAUAAUAAAUGUUUUAUUAUAUUAAAAAAUAAAAUAAAAUAAAAUAAAUAUUUUAUUGUAUUAAAUAUAAUAUUUAAAAUUUUAUAUUUUGGGUUGGGUUAUUUGAGUUAAUUAAGCAAAUAUGACGAUUUUGAAACGUAUUAAGAGUUUUAGGAUGUGUUUCCUAAAAUUUAGGAAAACAGACUGCUUUUGUAGAGAGAAUAAAAACACACUUCCAACUAGAAGCGUUUUCGUCCAACAGUAAGUCAACAAUCAUUUUCCCAACAGUUAAAAAAUCCAACUAUUAAAAGAAUAUGAACAUUGUUCUGGGCAACUGAUUAAUUUUGCGAAAUCCCUAAUCAGUGUUAGUGUUUAUGUGCACCCUGAGUUGCGAGUUGCUAUGGAAGGCACUUUGGGCGUGCGCGGUACUGCAAACCCUGGGAAAUAUCUGGGACUUCCGGUGAUUGUUGGAAGAAACAAAAGCAGGCUUUUCGAUCUAUUAAGGACUGGGUUUUGGAUCAUAUUGGGAGUUAGCUUAAUAGGUGUCUUUCGUAGGGUGGUAAGGCUAUCUUUAUUAAAUCUAUCCUACAAGCUAUCCCAAUUUACCCUAUGUCUUGUUUUUUUUUUUUUUUCAGACUUCUUUUUAUAAAGAGCUUGAGGCCUUGCUUUGUCGCUAUUGGUGGGGUGAGGCUAACUUACGGAAGGGAUUCAUUGGUGUUCCUUAGAGGGUUCGUGCGAUCUUAAGGAAGUUGGCGGAUUGGGAUUUCGAAGUUUGUCAAAACUUAAUAUUGCUUUGCUUGCUAAACAAGAUUGGCGUUUGUUGAAUAGCUCAGAUUCUUUAGUUGCUCGCGUGCUUAAAGCUAAAUACUACUCAACUACUAAUUUUAUGGGGUCAGAGUUAGGGAAUCAACCUUCUUUCAUGUGGCACAUUAUUUGGGCAGCUAAGGGACUACUGCAAAUGGGCUGUGGAUGGCAAGUGGGGAAUCGCUCUUCCGUUUCCAUUUGGGAUGAUGCAUGGCUCCCGGGUGAGAAACCCUACAAAAUUCAAUCUAUGAGGAUUAAUGGAUUUGAGAAGGUUGUUGAUUUAAUUGAUGUUAACAGUGGCAGUUGGAAUCAGGAAUUGCUAAGAGGGUUAUUCUCUGACUAGGAUAUGCGGAAGGUGUUGUCUAUUCCUUUGGCCUUUCACACAUUGGAAGAUUAGUGGAGAUGGUGCCUUGUAGAUGAUGGAAAUUACACAGUUUGGAGUGGGUAUCAACUUCUACUCCGAGGCUUCCCCAACUCGGAUGAUGACAGGUACAAUCAUAUGGGGCAAACUAUUAGGCGAUGUUACAGACAACUUUGGGCUGCGGGUUUUUUACAUAAAUAAUACAAAAAAAUUAAAAUAAUACUAAAACAAUACAACCAUUUUAUUAUGUACCAAAAUAGUACAAACAAUAAAAAAAACCUGACGGAAGUGACAGGACUAUAGUCGAGGGUCUGCCAUAGGCGGCACCAAAGGUGCCAGUGGCAGAGGCGACACCAAAGGUGCCACUACCACAGGCGACACCUGUGCCAUGUUUUCCCGCCUUUUGGGGACCUUAUAAUGGUCCCCAAUUUCACUUUCACUUCAGCUGCACAAAGGAGAAGAAAGAAAAGGAAAUGAGAAGAAGAAGAAGAAGGAAGAGGAGAAGGAGAGGGCGGUGCCGAAAAAAGAAAAGAAAAAGAGAGAAAGAGAAUAGAGAAAGGAAGAGAAGAAAAAAAUAGAAAAAAUAAGGUAUUAUUAUGUUUUUUUAAAAAUGGAUUAUCUUAUUAUUAUGUUUUUUUUAUUUUUUUUUAUUAUUUUUUGUUGUUAGUUUAGUUAUUAUUGUUAGUUAUUAGGAUUAAUAAAAAUCCUAAUUAUUAUUUUAGUUAGUAUUAUUAUUGUUAGUUUUUAGGGUUUAGUUAUUAAUAAUUAUUGUUACUUAGUAUUAUUGUUAGUAAAAAACUAAUAUUAUUAUUCUGGUUAGUUAUUAGGAUUAGUAAAAACCCUAAUUA
rnacentral:lncRNA from 1 species